rnacentral:lncRNA from 1 species
CUUGGGAUCUCAGCAGGAAAUGUGAAGGUUGUUUAAAACCGGCCGAUAGGCGAAAGAGAAUCCAAAAGUUUUGUUCUGAUCUGAGUAGGCUCAACAUAGGGAAUACCCUAACCCUGGGAACCGGGGCAUAUAAAUCCGCUUAUGGCAUUCACCCAAGCAUACAGAGACAGAUGGAAUGAAAGAAAGAAAAAGUAGCUCCGCAGCUCGCCCAGAAGAAGAAAGACCCGCCGCUAACGAUUUGGAAAUCCCUGGUGGGCUGGGCCUGAAAGACAAGUGUGUGUGGAUUUCCACAUCCUCGUCUUUACUUUAAGACACAAUUCUUCUCUUUCUCGGUUAAAUGACUUGCGAUAGUGUACCUUGAGUAGGACCAUAGGGAUCUUAUGUUUGUGGCAAAAGAUAAGUGGUUCUGUCACAACCAAGAAAGUUUCUAUGAGUGAGCGACCCUUGAUAAACGCCGAUUGAUACGUGUCAAUGUCAAUAAGUGGAUGAGUGUUGUUAAAGACAAUGUUUGUUCCUCUUCUUUGAAACGAUUUUCAUGAAUCUCGAGAUGAUACUGAUUGGCCUGAAAUCCUCGACGGUGUUGGCAUCUUUUUUCUUUGGGAGGAGAGUGAUGGAUGCCUGGGUUAGCCUCCAAACAUAAAGGCCAUUGCUAUGAAAGAGCUGCAAGAGAGAAAGCAGUUGCGGGUGGAUGAUGUCCCAAAAAGGCUUGGAUUGCACUGAUUCUACCAGAGGAUGUUGAGAUGGUCCCAUUGCAACUCACUGAUGGAGAAGAACUGGAGAGCUCAGCUAGAGCUGGAGGAGGUGGUAGUACCUGUUCCCUACUGGUACCAGUGGUGGCUUGAUCACUUCAAAUUGGAGGGACUAUUGGGCCAAAUUCCCAUACUGUAAAAAAAGGUUAUCUUUUCUGAUAUAUCGGAGGUUUUGUGUGCAGAGGCCGCCAGGUUGAAGUUGGAUGUUGCUUUUGUAGUUCCCAGUGAAGGAUGAUGCUGGGUCUAUGAUGCAUUUUAUUUGGAUUUUGGCUGAUAGUUUUCGAUGAAGCCAUAGAUACUUCUCUUGUCUGAGACCUGUUGGCUUCAUCCAGAGGGAGAUGUGUUCUAGGGUGCCAAAGUACUCUUCAGCUGAAGAACUCUCUUUGGGACAAGGGCAUCAUCAAAGCAAAGAAAUCAGAAGAAGAAGCAGUCAGUAAUGCAAUGCGAGACAAGUGUCAUGUAGCAAGAUGCCCGGAAUCUAUCGUAUAUCGUAUAUAGGGAUUUUGGAUUGCGAUUUCCUUUUGGGGAUCAGGCUGAUUUGAUGACAGGAAUUUCCUUGUUUGUUGCAGCCUAAGAUUGGGAUUGGCCUACUCUUCUUCUAUAACCGGGAUCUUACGACUCUCGUGCUUAAUAAGUUGGCACCUCGCAUCCUGCCAAAACCUAAUCCUCUUAUUCUCUAGCUAGAGUUGGGCUCCUUAAGAAGAUAUGAUACUUCUACUUUUGACACCCUUUUUUUCCUAUUUUUAAACUCAAAUUGAUAAAGCCACCUGGCGAGUAGGAAUAGUUUCGAGUUUCUGGUAUGUUUUCUUUUGAGAAUCAAACCUCUAAUGGGUUUUUGCUACCAGGAGAAGGGAAUGGCCAUGUUGAUGGGGUCUAUCUAAAUAGAGAGGAACCUACAGGGCUGAUUACUCGAUCACUCCAUUGUGAUGACAAUCACACCCAUAUUCUUUAUUAUUUCUAAAUAUAGAUAACUGCCAUCUCCCGGCAUAAGAAGGAGUGACCCUAACGACAGCCCCUAUAAUAGUAGACAACACGUUUUAAAUCAGACUGGACUGAACGAAGAAAGAUCUUUCCACACAAGAGUGGAAGGGAUCCUUUAGAAAUAGUUCUUAGCUCCAAUCAAGCUUUCUCUGCUGUCUAGGAUCGUUAGUGCUAUAGUGGAGACACUUUUCUCAAAUAAGAAUGGUGGUCACAUUCCCUUUCUGGUGGUAGUCAUUGAGGAUCUCAAAAACAGGGAUCGCAAAAACGUGUCAAUAAUGACAACGCUGGGCGAAAAGGCUAAAGAAGAAAAACCUGUAGAUUUGAAUGCCACUUCCUUUGCUAAGAUAGCUAGAUUUGGAUGUCCAUUCCAUAAGGUAUAGCUGCAUCUGACACUGAGUAGAAGUUACUAGCAGGAUAGACAGGAAGCUCUGAAGGAUGUACAAUGCUUGGAGGGACAGAAGUUUCAAGAGAAAUGGUCUCUUUUCAUGGGCAUUUGUAGAUGAUGGUUGAUACUGCAAACAAUGCCUUCUUGACAGCUCUAGCAUCACCAGUUAUCUAUUAAGCAUAAAGAUACAUUCAAUAUAACAAUUAGCGGAAUAUAAGAAACAAAGAAUAGAUAUUGAAUAAAGAUGAGUGUUCGUUAUAGGGGAUAGGAUCCAUCUGCUCUCUCUCUCUCUAUUUUCUUUGAUGCAAUUUAGAGAGAAAGAGCAGUGCGAAUUAGAAAAAAAAAGAGAAUCGGGAGAUGAUUCCAAAAUAGAUACAUAGACAUCUAAAGUAAAGGGAUGUAUAUAUUAUUCCUAUAUAUAUCAUCUAUCUAUGAAAAAAGUAAACAGAGUUCGUUUUUGGGUUCCCCGAAGCCCCGAAUGGAUUGGAUCGUUUCUGCUUCUGCCAACGAAAUGAAGGCCUCGCCCCUUCCGAAUGCUUCUCCGAUCCUGAAGUUCUCGCGAAGAGAAUAAGAUGCAGCUCCCCCUCCCUCUGUCUUUUUCCGCUUUACUAAUCUUCCCCUCUAACGCGGGCCGAGCUUAGGCGGGCGCGGGAGGAAGAAAGAAAGUCGAAGAGCGUCUUCUCCUUUGUCCUUUUUUCAGUGCAACACAGGAAAGCACCCUCUUUUUGUAAUCCCUGCAGCUUCCCAGAGGCUUGCUUUUUUUUAUUGAACGCAUGGCGUAGCUAGGACCCCUCCAAUCAUGUUUGAGCCUAUGUUCACCCGGGGCCAAAAAAGGAGAAUUCCGGAAUGCCUGCCGACGUUCAGAUAAGGUGCAUAUCCCUUACCACUAAAGGAAAGGCUCGACGAAGGGGGGGAUAUUAGCUGGGUAAGGAAAACGCUUUCGAAGAUUGAGAUGUCGAUUUGUUUUUCAUCGAAAAGGAAGAAGGCCGAGGGGAUAGCAGCCUUCCUUCGGGCUUUGCCUGCCGACGUUCUAAUAAAGAAUUCCGGCUCGGCCCGGGAAAGCGCUGGCAACAACAUAAAGAAAGGGGUCCAUGUAGCUGCUGCGCCCGCCCACUGAGCAGCAGGUUCGGCAUCUACUACAAAAGAGAGAAUCCACUUCAGAUAACCACGUCUCUGCUAGGCAGCGUGUGGAAUGGCCGAGAGCGGACCAAAUGGAUAUAUAAUCCAAGCCGAGAGUGGAGUUACGUGAACAGCCGUCUGAUGGAAAACAACUGUCACGUUCGGUUCAGAGAGCACUUUUUUCGUUGAGAAUAAGUCCUUCCCUUUUGUGUGAAUUCCCCAGCGGCGAAUUAACAACUUGUGGGGCCCUAUCUAUUCAAUCUCUCGAGCCCCAAGAAAACCCCCCUCUCCCUCGGACUCAAUCUCUCUUUUGACUCUAUAUAUGUGGGCACCUGAUAUCUAUGAGGGUUCACCCACCCCGGUGACAGCAUUCCUUUCUAUUGCGCCUAAAACCUCUAUUUCUGCAAAUAUGUCACGUGUUUCUAUUGUUGCUUCCUAUGGGGGUACAUUACAACAAAUCUUCUUUUUCUGCAGCAUUGCUUCUAUGAUCUUAGGAGCACUGGCCGCCAUGGCCCAAACGAAAGUCAAAAGACCUCUAGCUCAUAGUUCGAUUGGACAUGUAGGUUAUAUUCGUACUGGUUUCUCAUGUGGAACCAUAGAAGGAAUUCAAUCACUACUAAUUGGUAUAUUUAUUUAUGCAUCAAUGACGAUAGAUGCAUUUGCCAUAGUUCCAGCAUUACGGCAAACCCGUGUCAAAUAUAUAGCGGAUUUGGGCGCUCUAGCCAAAACGAAUCCUAUUUCGGCUAUGACCUUCUCCAUUACAAUGUUCUCAUACGCAGGAAUACCCCCGUUAGCCGGAUUUUGUAGCAAAUUCUAUUUGUUCUUCGCCGCUUUGGGUUGUGGGGCUUACUUCCUAGCCCCAGUGGGACUAGUGACUAGCGUUAUAGGUCGUUGGGCGGCCGGAAGGUUGCCAUGAGUAAGGUUGGGAGACCGAAGGCAGUUUUCCGUGCACCGGACACGUAGCUUACCGAAUCAGUUGCAACACAGAUGGGAAUGCAUGCUACGAAAGACAGGGUCGAGUCUGAUACAUCAACCGUCAACUCCAUAUCCUUGUACGAGUCCACAAUCACUACACGAGAUGAACCUGGGUUCGGUGAAUGGAAGUUGGCCUUAGGUGUAAUAGGACUCCCAGUUACUGCGCGCGAUAAUAUACUGAGGUGCUCCCCGUCGGUUGUUGGAACAACGCGAGCCGGGCCGGGCCUCGAUUCCUUUCAAAAAGAUGAAGGGACAGAGGUGACUAAUUCCCCAUAUCAUUUGGGGCGGAAAACGAAUCGACAUCUCGAUGUGAUACAGCCCUUUCCAUUUUUGUUGGGAAAGAACGGCGAAGUCCAUUCGAACCCUCCAAUGAAGAAAUAAGAGGAGAGCAAAGCGCCAAUGGCGCGCGAAGCGCAUGCGGAAGGGGCACGGAGAAAUAAAGAAGUGUGGGGGAGAAGCAGCCGAGCUCAUUCCCUUCGCUUCCUGGGCCCAAAGCAGUGCUUUGUUUCCUGGCCAAAUCAAGGAUUUGGGGCUGAUUGCAAAAGAUAUCUGAAUAGAAAGAUAGAUCCAUCCAUCUAUCCAGAUAUCUAAAAAAGAAUCGAUUUCGAUUUCAUGAAACCUUUGAUUCAAAGAACUGCGCUUAGCCCCCCCCCCCGCUCAUGAAACGGCUCUGCUGCAAUGGAUGGCAGAGGGUCCGUAGUACCCGAAGCACUGGAGUGAUUCAGUAGCCGGGAAGGGGCCUAGAAGUGCCUACUACUACACUUGGCUCUACACAUUUACAGAGCUUACCCCUGUCCAGUGUCUGGCAGAACAUUGGGGGCUUCAAUCGUCGACUCGUUAUCCCCAUCUCAGCCCAGGCUAACGGAGCCUGACUUAUUCAGGGGAGAGAGUGGAGCCUAUUGAAGCACUCUUGAGAGUAAGAUCCUUGGCUCCUCUUCAUUCUCUACAGGGGUCUCUGCCCACAUGGAAGCGGGGCAGAGAUGGAUAAGAUCAAACACGGGAAUAAGAAGCAUUUGAAAUGCCUUUUUGAUCAUUUUGAUAGAGGGGGAUGGAUAAAGUGGGCAAAACAGACUCACAUUUUGCAAUCGAAAAGAUGGGUUCCUUUUUUGUCUCGACAAAGAAAGAAUCAUCUUGAAAACGCUCCUAACCCCUUCGUAGGGCCGUGUAUAGUAAGUGAUCCGAACCUGCCCGGAGCGAGCCCCCCUUAGAGGCAAGUGAAGUUGGUGAGCCGUAUGAUGGGCAACUAUCUCCUGCGGUUCGGAGAGGACUCAGCUGUUAGUUAGUACCCCCUUGGUUUCGGGGUGGACCCUUUCACUCUAUUUUAUUAUAUACGAUUAGCGAAAAGAAUGUUUUUUGAUAGACCUAGGACAUGGAUUCUAUAUGAACCAAUGGAUCGUGACAAGUCGUUACUACUAGCAAUGACUUCCUCUUUCAUUACUUCAUCCUUUCCAUAUCCCUCUCCCUUGUUCGAUCUUACUCAUCAAAUGGCACUCAGUUCAUAUCUGUAAGUUUGUUCGAUCAUUGACAAGGUUCAAAGAAAGGGUGGGAGCAUAAAAUGUAGGUGAGUCAAUUGCGUGUGGCCUUCAAGUAUUUCAUAUUGUAACAAUAUUAGAUCGGCAUCCAAACAAAGGUGCAUGUACGGUUCCUAAGGGAUACAAUUUUGUCCUAAUCAUCGAGAAAGAUGACAUAAGUUGAUAGCGCGAUCUCGUACUAACACAUACUCUCUAAAUAUUGAAGAACUUGCAUGCGGCCUUCAAGCCACAACCGCGGUAUGAGUUCUGAUCUCAGACUUUGGUUUGGGGGCUACUGGCCCCUUCGCGUCGACAAGGAAACUAUGGACGACAAUGGGUUUAGAAUUAGAAUAAAACGAAGAGGCUAUCGAACAAAUAGAGGAAAGGGCAGAAAGGGGUAAAGUAAAUUCCUAUUACAUUGGCAUAUGGCACGAAAAGGAAAUCCAAUUUCAGUAAGACUUGAUCUAUCAUCAGAUUCUGGUUUUUAUCAAUGGGGGGGGGCUUUUCUUAGCUAUCAUUGUGAUAGCUGCUUUAGUAGUAGAUCCCUCCUUGAUCGUGACAGAUCAGGUUAGGCAAGCACUACUUGAAGUGAUUCUGUCACUUUUACAAUAUGUUUUGCUAUAUGGUGCCACGCUGAUUGAAGAAAUGGUACCGGCCCUCUGGGGGCAGGAGCGAUGUGGGACCGUGGGCACAGGGGGCUGGAAAGUCCUGCCCGCUCGGAGGAGGGAACCUCCAAGGAGGCAUACAUUUUUCUCACCAAAUCACAAAAUAGCGGCCAUGUCGGACAAGAGGCCACCGCAGGCCCUCUCUGGGAUCCGGCAGAUGGAGGGAAACCUUCCAAAAGCCAGUCUUCUUCACUAGCUGAAACAGAUGCAAGGCGGGACCAAGCUUUUGGGGUGAACUUGUGUGAUUUGGAAACCCUCAAAAGGGAAAAUACCUAUGAAGAGGUACGACAGAAGUAUCCAUCAUCCGACGAUGACACUCGAAAGGCGGUUAUCGAACUUUUUGAUAAAAAUGAGCUUUUCGGUGCUAAGUUGCUCACACACUUUAAGCAAAGCGCCCCUAUGAGAGCUCUGGGGCCAGAUGCCUACCACCGUGAUUUAUCAAAAAGGAUAAACCAAAUCAUGAGAUGCGAGGGAAAGGACCCCGAAUCACUUAGAGACCUUAUUGAUCUUCAAUUUAAUAUGGAGGAUCCUCAAAGAAUGAAGGAGAUUCUCACUCGAUAUUUCGAUAAGCAUAAAAGAUAACCUAUUUGUUGUUCUGGUCGAUUAGGGGGUGCGGAAAUAGCUAGAACUGAAUGCGGAAAGUCCUUGGGCUGUUGAACAGAAUCCAACCACACUAGAAUGGUUGGUACAAAGCCCUCCGGCCUUUCAUACUUUUGGAGAACUUCCUGCGGUAAAAGAGACAAAAAGCUAAAAAAAACCUCUCCUAACUAUGAAGGAAGUUUCAUAGAGAUAGGUGUGGGGAAAUAAGUUCUUCAUUUGAAGAGUUAGUUGGCUGGCCUACCGGCCCACAGAUUAGGUUGGCUUUUAUCGCCAACUGAACUGCGUAACCAAAGCGAUUCCUUCUUGGUGGAGAUAGGUGGGUCCUGGUCCAACCUAAGUCAGUUCAAACCUGACGGGUCGUUCAUUCGUGUGGAGAAUCUCUCUCCUUACUCAGGAUUUCUUUAUCUUCGAGGUGAGGCAUAUUCAUAUGUCGAAGAAGGGGAAAGUGUCUCCAUUUACGCUCAUAGAACCCGGAAAAAAGAAUAUACCGUCGUUUAAGGACCAAGGAUGCGAUGUGAGAAGCGUAGGUCGGAGUAGCAGGAGUAUGCGACAAGCAGUUGCAUGUUUGAUGUGGGUCUGUAACGAGAUGAAUUAGAACACUUGGAAUCCUCGCGGAUAUAGCUGCCACGAGGGCUCUUUCCCACUUAAUAGAUUCAUUCCUUUGUUACGGCGGUUGAGGGUACCUGCCGUUCAGAGAUGCUAUCAGAGUAGGAAAGUUAGCCAAGUUAUCCUGCCUAGUUUAGAUAAAGCACCCCGAUCAUACCAGAGGCAACCCGAUCAUUGUAUACAUAACAUAGUGGAAUUUGAGUAAAUUCUCUCUGCCUUUCCCAUUUCCAAUUCAAAAACCACUAGGCAUAGAAGGAAAUCUUUCCCGGUAGAAGGUUCUCAGUAAUCAGCAGUGGGAAUAAGCCCUUCCAGUCUUUUUCGCCUAAGAAGGUUUUGGAGGAGGAACCUAUGGGAACGGCAGUCCUGCAUUGAGAUUAUUAGUUGCUUACCGCUGCACAUUUUAUCAAGAUCAACCUGUGGGAAUAGCCGUCCCUUCCUUACCAAAGAAAGAAAAAAGGAAUGACGCGGUCUGGUUUACAUGUAAGAAAGAAAUAGGAUAAGGGUAAAGGUGACGUUUUAGCUCUUUGUUCCGCUCUUGGUUUACAGGCUUUGUUAACCGGACCGGAAAAGGGGGCAUUUUCUGGGUAGGUUUCCCUAUUAAGUCAGCACCGGAUCAAGAUUGGAGACCCACCACAAGCAGAGAACAAAAAAGCCUAAGAGUGGUGACCAACCAUCUGCAAAAGGAGUAACAGAGCAAAGCGGAGAAGAGAAGGGGGAAGAAAAAAGGUUCCUAACUCAUUGGAUAGCUUAAUCUAUUGGUCAGGGAUCCCAUCUUUACUUUAUUUAGGUGCCUAGACUUUUCGGGGCAUAGGGUAGAUUUCACAGUCCUUUAAGUGAAUACGCCUUCUCUUUAUGUAUAGAGCUCUUAAAGAAUGGAUCAGCUCCUAGAGAAAAAGUCCAAGGUCUGAAUACCAAGAGCGGUCAAACACAGUGAUCGGUCCCGGUCAAUGGGUAGAAAAGCCCGCCCUAUAAUCUGAAGUAGUCUUCGACUAGGUAUAUAAAAUGGAUAAAAAGAAAGAAGGGGAGGAGAGGAGAUAGAUGCAUUUCACUAGGCGUAUAUGAUAUUGGAAAGAAUGGAAUUGAGUAAGCUUAGGCCAACCGAUAAGUCAUCUUUGUGUAACUUCCCAUAUGCCUACUUCUAAGCUAAAGUAAGGAAAGAGGGUGAGAUAAGCAAGAAUGAGCCAAACGAAGACGUAAGGUUUGUUUAGAUGUAGUCUUUGUGCUUUUCAAGUUGCUUCUUGCGAAAUCAACUAAGUUCGAAAAAGCCAUGCCCAGGUUUCCGGGAGUUUAGAUAAGAUAUGUCAGCUGUUGGAGGAUCAAUAUUAUCCGGGGGAUCCAUAUAUUAUGAGGGAGUAUAGAGAGGGGGUCUAGAGAUAGUACAGUCUGUAGUGAACCUAUUCAUUAAAUGGACUUUUCCCUUACCUCUCAUCAGCUUCCCUUUCCCUCGCCGGUGCAGUGCCAUCUGGAUACCUCAUAAAUAAAUCAAGCAGGCCGGCUAGUAAGCGAUCCCGAGGGGCUAUCUUCUCUCCCAUGCUGGUGCCUUGCUUAACUCAAGUAUAAAGUGGAAAUUAAAGCCAAAAUCCGGGGUGAUAAAAUUCCAUUUGAAUCUUGAGAUCCAAGAAGAAGGAUAGCUUCAUGAGUUCGUUCUGACUCCUAGCUUAGCUGGAAAGCAUUUGCAUGUAUCUGGCAGUGGGUGUAACAUCCAUCAUACUCAAACAGAAGAAGGUUUGCUUAUCUAGCUCCAGGGCAGUUAUAAUCAUUUACAGAACCAGGGUUUGCACCUACUGAGGAGGAGAAAGGGCCGACAACCCAUACUAGAACUCCAAGAUAAGAUCUUUCAGUCGAUCAGACGGCCGAGGCCUUUAAUAAGGUCCGGUUGUGCCAACGAGUUCUUCUAGUUAUGAAUCGCCGUAGGGAGGUAGCAUUACAUUUUUAUUAGCAAAAUAGAGCUCCUCAUAGAAAAGAAUGGCGAAGAAAGUGUUAGAGUACUUUCUUUCUGUUCAGUCCUGGAACUUAUUCUUUUCCGAUCGACCUAUCAACAGUAGCGAUCAUACCCCGUCGAGCGAGUUAGGAGCUGCUCACAAAGAAGGUCGAAACCAGAUGAGAUGUCCGAAGCAGAUACCAAAGAAUAGGUUCCUUCACCGAAGUCUACUUUAUUUUAGAAUUCAAAUUCAACUGAUGCCGCACAGGCUGACCAUUUAAAAUAGGUGGAAACGGGAGACUGGAGAAGAUGAUCACACUUUGGAAGAGAGACAGUCGCAUACCUGCCCCGGGAGGGGGCUUUUGUUCGAUACAAUCACUGAACUCAACCGCUUAGACUGGAGAUGGCACUUGAAAACUCGUACAGAAAUCUAUCAACUUGACUUAGAGGAAGAAGUGGCAGGGGGUAGGUCGGCUGUUUUAAGUCCGGAUGGUUCCUCUUGUUGGCAUGGCGUUGGUAUGCCUCGCUAUCCUUCAACUCUGGAUCCGCCAUCCUUCAAAACAACAACUACCAAAACACGAACUCAACGGCUUAGAACCGUAAACCAUAUACCUUCUCGGUAAAACACAUCUCAAACAGAUUAUUAUCGAAAUGAAUGGAUUUUAUCGCCUUAAGUAAGAGAAAAGGUUUGUGCUUUCGCCAGAAAUUGACUACCUACCCAUUGAUUGGAUUUCUUCUUCUCCCAGAUCCAAUAGAAGUUUCCAAUGAGUCAUUGCCAACUGCUUUAGCAGGAAUGAUCGAAAGCAGCAGGGGUUUAGUGAUCAAGCUCUCAUUUUAAAGUCCCUGCCAGCAAUACCAAUCCCAUGCUCUUCGAUGGUUCUUACGCUCUGAAAAGAAUCCUUCUAAGCUUUCCUCCUAAAAAGAACCUACGUUCCAUUAUAGACAUAGAAUCUAUCGUUGACCUACCCAAAGUCUUCUUUUGGUUCCUAGAACCAUGCAGGAAAAUCACUUGAGCAGUGAUAGGUCAGCAUCAAUGGUUUUGAGAUGAAAAAAAUCAGUCAAACAACACUGGCAGAUCGGCAAUCCGAUCGGGACCUUCGCACUUGACCAUCGUAAAGGGAUCGUUGUCGCUUGGUCGAUCGAUCCGUCCUUCCACCCCAAAGCUGGUAAUCCAGAUCAGAGUUCUUUGGAUGGCAUGUAAUGGAUUUCAUUAUGAAAAGGGUCAUUUUUUUGAUGUUGUAAACUUCAUAUCCAGAGAAAUGGAUGACUGGCUGAGGGACAUAUAGAUUACUUCAGAUCUCCACCUUCCUAUGCUAUGUAUGCCAACCUUGAUCUAAUAAGUGGUCUUAAUUAAUAUGCAAGAUAGGAUAAUAUUAUACAAAUGGUUGGUUUUGUUCAAUACUUAGAUAGGGCUGACUACGCCACCUCAGCAGCUGGGACUGGAAUUGCUUACAAUGCAUCUGGCCACUGACUGAAUUCGAAGUAGGGCCAGUGUAUAAAGACCGGCUUAUCUCUCUUAAGACUUAGUCCACUUUCUACUAGAAUCAGAUUUUCUAGUUUGCAAGCAGGUGUGCCAGCUGUAACAAAAACUUAUGGCUUAGGUGGAUUUCUUUAGUCAGUCUAUAACUCAGGCUUUUCUUUAUAGGACUCCCACACAAGUAAGUAGCUAGCUAGCUAGCUGGUAUUGCCAAAGCCAAAAACACUGCUGCAUUCGAAAAGGCGAACCGCGCGGACCCGACUUCUUCCUUUUAUGCUGAAACUAGGGCUCCCUCUAGGUAAUUCUACCUAUCCGUUUGGACCACGUACCUAGAUCAAGUCAAUCAUUUGAAUCUAAGUUGUCCUCAGCUACAGCAAAAACAGUAGAAAGCAACAAGUUCUCCGUUUUCUGUUCCCAAAGGGUGUGAAUGGAAUCAAUAAUUAUAUAUAUAUAUAUAUAUAAAGUUGACGUAAGCUAUAUGCAUUCGGUGCCCUCAAGUAGGUACGACUAUGGAUCAUUCUAUUCCUUUCCUUUAGGUAGUCCUAAAAAGCAAAACGUAAUGGUAGAGGAUGAAGGAAACAAAGAAUGAAGUCUGCACCUUUGACUACUGAUGAACCGCCAUUUCGUUCUUUUCUUCUUUGUUCGGCUUUCACAAGCAAGAUACCUUGAAGCAGGUGACAGUCUAUAGCCCAGGAGAGUACCAUUGCUCACAUGAUACAAUUGGCCUUCCUCUUCAGAUUUAUUUAGAACUUCAAGCGUUCAAGGCAAGGUUGUGCAAUCUCUCGUACCUGUGAGAAAAGGGCUUAUUUACUACUUUUUAUCGAUCAAUGGUCCACCGGUCCCAUCCAAUGAGUGGUAUCUGAGUAUCAUAGUAUCAUAAGAAAGUUCAUUUGUACACCCGCUUAUCUUUCUAUAGAAACUUAUCUCUCAAUGAUUUUUAGAUAGGAUGUUUCUAGAAUUACCCCUGCUACGUAGAAUGGGAUAGUGUCAACGUCCUUCAUUAUAGUACCGAAGAUGCUCGUAGGCUGGUCGAUGGAAAGGAUGGCUUUUAUUCAAAGAGAUGGAGAUCCUGGUUUAGCAGCGGUUGCCCGUCCUUGGGGUUAUGUCGAGCUUUUCGUAUUAAGCACUGGGAGCAGAGAAAUCCUAGGGUUGCUUUGUCUUCCUCUUAUGUUCUUAAAUAUAACUAAAAAGCAUCCUGUUUCUUUAGUUGCCUCAAAGCUCAGGAUCUCCCCAUGUUUCUUCUGGAGAUGUGUCAGUGGCUUUGCAAUGAUGCCGAAAUGGCAAACGAAGCACCUGUAAUAGCCAGCCAAACCUAAGAAGCUGCGGACUUCUUUGACUGAUUGCGGAGAAGACCAGUUGGCAAUGUUCUUAAUUUUGUGGGUUUCAGUGGCAACCCCAUGCUGGCUGAUAGUAUGGCCCAAAUAGGAUAACUGGCGUUGAGCGAAAGAGCACUUUGAGCAUUUGACUUGCCAUUGAUCCCUUCUUAACAACUCAAGCACUGAUUGCAAGUGGAUUGUGUGAUCUUCAAGAGAGGCACUGUAGACUAAAAUGUCGUCAAAUAACACCAGGGCGCAUUUGCGCAGAAGGGGUUUGUUUGAGAGUGGCGUUCAUGGCUCCCAAGAAGGUGGCUGGUGCUCCCGCGAGGCCGAAGGACAUGACCUUGUACUCGUAGUGCCCUUCCAGACUCUGGAAGGCUGUUUUGAAUUCAUCGCCAGCUGCCAUACGAAUCUGGUGAUAACCAGCUCUGAGAUCGGGUUUAGAAAACCAUGAGGCACCAGACAUCCAGGAGUUCUUCGACUAUGGGCACUGGAUACUUGCUGACGACAGUCAUCGCAUUUAGACAGCGAUAAUAAAUACAUAAACGCUAGGAGAAAAAAUAUAUAAGAUUUUUGGUCAUAGAACCCCUGGUACCAAUGUUUAUAGAACUGUCCAGAAUUGAUAAAGAGAAGCAGCUUUGAAGUCAUGGAGAACGAAAAUAGGACCCUGGCUCGAGCCCAUCUAGUGAUUAAAGGUAAAGUGCUUCGGUACAUUGGUGCAGGGGAAUGCGUACCUACGCCUUUUAACUGCCUUGGGGAGAGCGGACUCGCUGAUGACCCUCCUUGGGAAACAAAUGAAGUGGGUGGAUUGGAGUUCGUCUCCGCCAAUUAGAGAUACGGUGCUGACCCAAGCUGAGUGAGUGAAGGCUCCGGCUUGACCUACUAGCUGUUUGCUAUCAAUAAAUAACUAGCUGACAAUAUGCUAUGCUUACUCUCCGAGCACUAAAGCUAUCGAGAAGUGAUGCAACAAAGGUUGUUGAAGGUAAAAACCAUCAAACAGAGAAAUCUUAAUCGUCAGAACAACGCUGAACCUAACUUGUACAAGAGUUGGUAAGAAAGUGCAAACGUUGAGUAAGAAAUCGCCAUAGGGCGGCACAAAUAGAAAGAAAGGCUUCUGCCAAUCGGAAUAGGAAUGCGAAAUCCCAGUAAAAGGGUGUUCAGUCGAAGAUAGGAGGAUUCCUUUGAUCCAUACCGUCAUCUGACAGACUUCCUGCUGACUUCGUCAAUUGCUCUUUAUCGCUUAAUAGAAGGGAAAUUUCAUGAGAUAGAUGACAAAAUGAAUAUCAAUCGAGAAAAAGCUUAAAUAGACACAAUUCGUAAUAGAUACAAUUCGUAAGGAAGAAGUGAUCAAAAGUACGAGGUCGGCAUAGGAGAUAUGAUGUGUCGGAGGCAGAAGGCACGGAGAAGUCGAGAUCUUCCAAGAUAAACCCAUUCCGAUGCCUAUAAAAUCAGGUGCACCGCGUCUAUACUACAAAAGUGUGAUAGGUUUCUUCGUAUUUCUUCCGCCGACAUCGCUUUCUUAUUCCUAACACAAUUGUUUAGCUAAGUUUGCUAACGAAUCAGGGAGAAUCAACAACGAACACCGCAUUUUGAAAAGGAGACGUGAUUUAUUCCUACCGUCCUGAACACGUCUAGAAACAGCAACCUCGUACAUAAUACCAUUUCGCAUUACAGUAUCCACUUUCAAGUCGGGGUGAAACUUACUAAGAUGUUGGGUCAUCAGAAUACCAUCGAAUCGACUCAUGUUAUGAAAGUAAAUAAUUAGUGACUUUCUUUGUUUGCUUACAACAGAAAGUAUUCCAUUUAUGAAUGCUUGGAGUACACAAUCACUUCGAUCAUAAAAUGAUGGGUGUGUAUUUAUGUAUUCGUGGGAACUAUAAUGAUUAAUAUAAAUCUUUGAUAGUUUCUUGUCUGAAUUGACAGUCAUAAAGGCGGCUGCAUAAGCGUGGUGGCGGGGAAGAUUUUGGAUUCUAUUAUCUCCGCGGGAACAUAGUUCCGAUCCAACAAGGGAAUGCGUAAACCAAUAGGCUAUUUUGGACUUUUCGCACAUAAUUAUUAAAGAUAGAUUUUCGUGCCAUGCGAAAACCAAGCUGCUGAGAAUCUACCCCAGCCACAAGGGGGAGCUGCUCCAGUAAUUCAGGAUACCCCACCCAGCCCCACAAGGGUUGACGGACCCCCUACCUAUACCUAUACCUGAUGAUUACCUAUACCUGAUGAUUUUCAAUCCACAGCUCAUUUUCUUUAAUAUGUGACAAGCCUUGCAAAUUGUGAUAAUAUGUAUCAAAUUAGUGGUCCGCAUAACCCAAUAUUUGAAAAUUAUGGAGGUGCAGGCCCAAGUACUUCGAAUCAUCAACAAGAAAUCCAAGAAAGAACAGCGAAGGAAAAACGUGACAAGAAAAGUUGUUUUCUCGACUCGAGAUGUUAGAAGGUGGUAAAUCAAUAGGUGCCGGAGCUGCUACAAUUGCUUUAGCCGGAGCUGCUGUCGGUGUUGGAAACGUCCUCAGUUCUUUGAUUCAUUCCGUGGCGCGAAAUCCAUCAUUGGCUAAACAAUCAUUUGGUUAUGCCAUUUUGGGCUUUGCUCUCACCGAAGCUAUUGCAUUGUUUGCCCCAAUGAUGGCCUUUCUGAUCUCAUUCGUUUUCCGGUCGCAUAAAAAGUCAUGAGAUCAAAAAAGAAAUGUGAGAAUGUAGUUACAGAUGUAAAAAAAGUCAAUAUCUCGUUCUCUUGGUCGAUGAUGGCCUUUUUAUUGAUUUUGACGAUUGGAUCUCUCUAUGAAUGGAAAAGGGGUGCUUCAGAUCGGGAGUAACCACUUUUGAAAGGGCAGAGGGGGGAAAAAGUAAAGUCUAAGCGACAUAUGGCACGAAAAGGAAAUCCAAUUUCGGUAAGACUUGAUCUAUCAUCAGAUUCUGGUUUUUAUCAAUGGGGGGUACUUUUCAUAGUUAUCAUUGUGAUAGCUGCUUUAGUAGUAGAUCCCUCCUUGAUCGUGACAAAUCAGGUUAGGCAAGCACUACUUGAAGUGAUUCUGUCACUUUUACAAUAUGUUUUGAUAUAUGGUGCCACGUUGAUUGAAGAAAUGGUACCGGCCCUCUGGGGGCAAGAGCGAUGUGCAACCGUGGGCACAGGGGGGCUUGAAACUCCUUCGCGUUCGGAGGAGGAAACCUCCAACGCAGGGGUCCUGGUCUCAUUCAUGAAUAGAAAUGACUUUGACCUUAACGAACAGCCGCCCGAGCAUGAGCAGCUCGAGCAGGAACAGCCGCGCGUAGAGCAACAGCCUCGUCCGUCAGUAGAUUUCCACUCUACUCCGGCCGAAGCAAAUCCAUUCCACCAACAACUUGAGGGCGCGCUCUUCCGAAGAAGUAUGGCUAGAACCCUAGCUGAAAUCCGAGAAAAAUAUCCAGCUCCGCCAACAGCUGACGAUCCCGACAGUAAUGCUAAGGACACCGUUCUGGGUAUGCUCCAAUUAAAUACCAGUUUGAAUGGGGCAUUACUAUUUUAUUUAGGAUCGCAAAAGCCUUUUCCCGAUGGUGUCCUUUCGGAUCCUGGGAAUCUGCCAGGCUAUCAAGAUCGAAUAGAGCAAAUCAUGCAUAGUAAUGCAAAGAAUAUCAAUUGCUUGGAGGAUUUGAUAGAACUAAAACUUCGUUUGGAGUCGCAGGACUCCAGACAGAUAAAUGCUAUUCUGGAAACUUGGAAGGAUCGGUAUGCUACCAAAAACAGGACUAAAACAUUUUAGAGGAAUGAAUGGUAGCCAUCAUCAUCAUUCUCUUUUUCGUUAGAAAGAUAAAGGGCUUCAUUUGAAGAGUUAGUUGGCCGGCCUACCGGCCCGCAGAUGUAGAGAAAGAGAUAGAGGUUGCCUCUCUUCAGGAAUUGCGAAACCAAAGGGACGCUUGGAAAGAAGGGAACGCACGGCUCUUAUCUGGUUCGAAUCCAGUUCGUCCCGGAAAAAAAGACUACACCAAACUACACUAACUAUGAGUUUAUGAAAGCAAGAACUACUAAUUGUAAAAAUUACAAUCGAAAGCCCCCCCGGUAGAAAACCAGCUAUCGUUUCAUAUAUGCGCUAGGAGAUAGUAUCCUAUCCCCCUCAAUCUCAGGAGUCGCUUUCUCUAUGCCCGACUUACGAGCUCUUUGCUUAUUAUUUCUUGGGUGGAAUGAAGGUCGAAAUGUCUAGUUUGAAUUGCUUAUGCUUAUAUAGUUUGAAUCGUCUAGCUUCAUACCAAGGUUGUUCUACAAAAGAACCAAGUAAGAAAGUAAGCCCGUUCAAUUGAAAUAGCUUCCUCGCUUUGCAGUUCGAUACCCACUGAAACUAUGGAUACGAUAGACUCGGGAGGGGUAAAGGGUUACUUUAUUUGGGCUGCUAAGUCUUUCUUGUUGAUUCCGGAAAUAAAGAGGACCUUCUUAAUCCUUCGUGCUCCACACCCGCCUCACUGGACCUAUCCAUUCGAGCUCUCUCCUCUAAUCCCAACUCGAGACGGCUGGACGACGACGCCUGUUCACUUAUAAUGAAAUCACACGUUAAGCCCGAUGAAUUCAUCUACAAUUUCUGGAUUUGACGGUUUGGCAAGGCAGAACCAGGGCCCUUCCAUUAAGGUUAUAUUAUAGUUUCGAUAGGAGAGAUGCAGACCAGAUAGGAAUGCAAGAAUACUCUGUAAAUUGUUUAUUAAUUGGUUUAGUCUGUGGAAGAGAAGUAUCGAUCUAGAGGAUUGCCCCCCCCCCCAGACUGACCUAGUUGUCCUUGACUUGCUUCGGAAAGAAAAGACCUAGUACUUGUUUACCUUGACCAUGGCUACUUUCCCGCCGCCUUUCCUUCUAUACUUUUCCUAUGUGCUAUCCCAGGCAUCCCUUGUCAAGCUACCUAUCCCUACGAAAAAGCAAGCCUACUUACUACGUGUUUUCCUCUAUUGGCAAAUACGCAUAUACUGACCUACUCACGUGCAUAUCUUGCAUAAAGCCUUCCCCUAAAAAAACAAACUAGCCCGUAUCUUCCUAGUCCUUCUUGCCAGCCCUACUCGACUUUACUCGACUAUUUAGAAAAAGCUACUACUUGAAUGCAUACUUUUACUAUUAUUUAAAGAAAAAACAAAAACUAUUUAUGAGUAUAUGCCCCACCAACAGAGCAAAAGAACGCUCAAAUGAGGAACUAGAAUAUGAAAGUGCAAAAUCUCCUACCGAACAAAGAAAGCACUAUAUCUCAUUUUAAAAAUCUGGUAAAAAUUCUUCAACCUAACUCAACACAACUAUAUUUCGACUGUAUAUGUAUGUUUGUAACGUGCCACAAAACCAUCUUAAGAUUAGACAGUUAUCAAUCAGCAAACGCAUUGACCACAUGCAAAAAAUCAAGACGGAUCUCCUUCCUUUUAUUCGGUGCUUUCCUUUUAUAAGUCACUGCUAUUCUUCCUUGACCCUUCUUACCUUUGCUAGAUUUUGCAUUCCCCUCAUUACUAUUUAGCUCAGUAUUAUCUUCACCUUUGGAAUUGCUUCCACCAGAAGUAGACGACAAGUACCGUAGAUGUCAUAAUUUCGUAUAUAGCAAAUUCAGGUAGUAAGUAAUGGAACUUUAGCAUGCAAAGGGACUGUACCAUGGAAAUUGAGAAGAAAUCUCCAUCAAGUUUUUCCAUUUUAUGCCAUAUGAAUAAGAGAUUCCUUUUAGUUAGAAAGCUCGCGUAGAAGUUUGCUAUCAAAGACCUCGGUAUUCUUUUCAUCCGCGGUUUCCCACUUCUCUGUCUCUGGGUGAAUGCCUCUACCAGAGGUUAUGCGCCAGCUUGGGAAAGCCUUAAGUUAUAUCUUAAUCUGUCUUGCAAGGUAGAUUGGAUCAUGUCCGCGAUAGAAGUUGCGGAGGAAUGAAACGACGAUUUCGGUAUAGGAAGAGAAAGGGAUUGUGCUUUCGACCGUGGCGAGAUAGGAUAGACUUGGGAUUCUUUCUUGGCCCUUGAUUGCCAACACUCUGGGGCUGAAUUAAUUAAUGAAACUAAUAGGAAGGAUUGGGAUGAUGAACUGGAUCAAUUCUUUCUUUCGCUGACUGACCAAGGUAAUUAAUUCCUUCCAUUGGCCAGGCGGGUAAGCAAGGAGACGACGUUCUCAUUAAAAAAAUGAAAUAUGCCAUGCCGAAUUCAAAAACAACUCCUUAAACUCCGUCGUUUACCGACAUCCUCUCGGCUAUCAUACGUCCUCCGCUUAUCUCUCUUAGGCAUAGGCAUCUCGACACAUUCCUCCUUCCGAGUUACUUGUCCGAACUUGGCUCUUUAGUAAAACGAAGGAGCUGCUAAGCUAUUAUUAGGUAUCAAUUUAGGAGCCUUUUGUCAUUUCCAACUACAUUAUUGUGAGUAUUCGGAACCCGUUCCUACGCGUUCAUCAAAUUGGCUGGCUUUGGACCCUCGAUCGCAGCAAUGAACUCAGCGUCCCACUUAACUUACUUUUGGUACUUUUGAAUCUUGUCCCAUCCCAUAGCUUCACAAGUGAAUCUACCUAUGGAUCCAUAAAGUUGAUCAUUACUUUUCAAAUUCUUAUUUCAUGUGUCCGCCAUAGCGCUUAUCUAUCUCCUGGUCUGAUUCAUCUUUGGAAUGUAACCGGACAUGUUACAAGGCGAAAAAACAGUGAUUUCAUCGAUUCCGGAUUGCCCAGUGUCUCCCUUUCCCUCUUUCCUUUCACUUUCCUCGCAUAACGAAAGCAUGAUUUACCCGAGCCGAGUAUCUUGUUAGAGUAGUAGAUUCCGCGCUCGAGAUGAUGUGUGUGACCGGGCAGGAGAUUCUUUUACUCCAAAGCCGUUGCGCAGGUUUGUGUGUGACAACUAUGUCGAUCAGUUUUUAAAGACGCCUAGAAACUAUGUCUACAGAUUCCGACAGAGAGUACAAGUGGUGCCAUCGGAGGAAGCUGACAACCUCAGAACAAGAAUGGAAAAAGGAUUGAUUGCUCGACGAAGUAGUACCAACAGGAUAUAUUAAUCACUAGGUUACGGUAAUAUGUGCUUGUCUCCGAAAAGAAGGAUAAAAGGAUAGAUUAGCAAAGCAGUCACUCCCAACGGCAGAUGAAAACGAUACCGACACAUCUACUAAAUCAUCUUAACAACCUUGAAGAUACGGGAUUAUAUAAUAACCUCAUUUAGUUGAUAGAUCAUUAUUGGAUUCUUUUUAUUGUGACCAAGAUCCAUGAAAUAGCUCUCUUUAUACUACGUUAUAACUAGCGGAUACUUCCCAUUCUUAUGUCUUCUUUCCUUAUUACGACUCCUGUGCUUAGAUAAAAUACGACGUUUGAGUUUGGACAUAGCCAAUUGCUACUUACGGUGCUAGGCCUUUUCAAGCAAUGGAAGGCAGACUUGAAUGCCAAUCAGACAUGGCCAGAAGCUUAGAAAAUAUCACUAGUUUCUCUUGUUUAUCACUUAAUAAAUAGUCUUAUUUGUCCCAGGGAGCGAGGAGAGAAGAUGACAGGUUGAGUAGAGAAAGGUGGGUCAUUGUCCCAACGUAGUAGUAUUUUUGUUUUGUUUUCAGCUGAUCUAUAUCAAAAUAAUAGAAUAAAUAAAGGCAAAGGAUUUGGUUCAGUCGUCAAGUACAGAUUUCCUUUACCCAGAGUUGGGAACUCUGAAUAGUCGUUUGAAUACCGAUUGCCUUCCUUGCGCUUCAAUUCCUCUUAUCCAAUCCAACUUCCCCUGGGAGCCAAGCAGAAAAGCAAGUCCUCUAGUUAUGGAUGCAGUACUCACCUCACUAAACUUAGGAAGAACUAAUUCAAGUAGAAUUACAAAUAGCGAGAAGUGGAUGAAAAAGGGAUCGAUCCUAGCUCGAAAACAGCUGCUCCUUCCCUCUUUCUUGCUUGCUUUACUCGGUAUUCAGUGAAAGAUUAGGCUUGGUAAUUACAGUUACCAAUGGUAAGGAUUGGCACGUGAACUUUCCUUUUUAUCGAGCUCGAAAAAGCAAUGAGUGGGUUGGCUGUGAAAGGAGAGUAGAGUUUUUUAGUUUAGUAAGAAAAGUACUGGGUGAGGCUCCCCACAUCCAUAACAUAUUAUCUGUACUCUUUUUCAAGCAUGCCUCUUUUUAAUGACUCUCUUUUUCAACUUAAUUGUGGCAUUUCAUUCUGUUAUUGACUAAUGGUUGACACUAGAGAAGCAUUGAAGGCUCCUUCCAUAGAUUCCAAAGCCCUGUUUGCUAUUAUCAGAAUAUUCUGACUCCCUUGUUGUCUUAUUGAUCUGACUAACCGCAAUAACAACAUUGCCAUUCGGGGUUACGCGAGUCGGAGUAUUAAAUAAAUGGAAUAUUCCAGCAGGAGCAACCGAACCAUCUUCUCGUUGUCCUUCCAUUCUUCUGACCAAUAAAAUAGCUCUUGGUCAUAAGAAACCAGCCGGAGUUCGAAAUCGGAGAUAAGAAUUGAAUCGAUUUCAGGCACUUCCCUCAAGCCGAAACCGGAACAGGAAACUUGUAACUUCUAGCCGAGAAGGAUAAGAGAGGUUUGUCUUGCUUUGUCUUAUAGUGAUUGUGUGCCAGGGGUCAGCGAAGAGACGGGACGCUAUUGUCCCGGACUACUUGGACUAGUCUACUAGGACUCGGUGGAAGAGACUUGUUUGUGAUAGGACGAGAGAUCAAGUACAGUGUUCGGUUCAAACUAGGCAACCUCUUCGUUAUAAGACCGAGAAUAGUAUAUGCCCCGUCUCACCACUAGCUAGGGCCACCAGCAUUAGGAAACUAAGGAAGAGUCGUAUGGCUAAGGAAUUCAGGGCUGAUAGAGCUCUUGGGAAGAAGUCAGUAUCCAGCUUUCUUUCAUUGAUAUCACAAUAACAAGCGAGGAAAGGACAGACUUUCAAGAGAAGAUAGGUCUGUUUUUCAUUAAGGAAUUGCGGCGAGUAUUGCUUGUUUCCCAGAUCCGGUAUCAGGACCUGUCGAUAGAUGGGAUGGACCCACCCGUUUGACUCUUAUGAAUUGAUAGUUAGAUACUAUUGCUAAAGGAAAGUAAAGAUAGUGGUUUGUGUUGCAAAAAGCUAGUUCAAGGUCAGGCUCCGUCAAACAGAGUCGUCAAGAACGAAAAGCUGAAAGAAUGAUGUGUCAAACAGUGAUUGCGCACAGAGGUUAGUUAAGUAUAGGAACUAUUGUCCCUAACAAGAAGUAUGCUGCUGUCCCAAUAAAAGGAUAGUUGGAUGGUAUCGAUUGAGGGAAUAGGGAUAGGUGGUUAAACGCGAUGCUGCGCCUAACUAUAUAGAACGGUGAUCCAUGAAGAGAAGUUGGCCAGCUAUUAAGUCAGAGAAGUCAUCAACCUAUUACUAGUGUCAGUUCUGUUAAGAGAAGUCAUCAACCUAUUACUAGUGUCAGUUCUCUUCUUCCUCUCUACCAAUUGAAAGUAAGUAUUGAUUUCGCCUAAUAGGGACAAAGCAAAGUAGGGUGGUCAAGUACAGUAUGCCUGGAGUUCGUAGUGCCCACUAGAUAUCAUUGGCAAGUUAUAGAAGUCUUUCUCUCUUCUGAGAUAUCAUUGGUCAGUGCAGCGAGGGGCAACCAUCAUUUGUAUUGCUCUGUAAAGAAAAGAUAGGACAAGGGUCUUGCUCCACCCAAUGGAGAUAAAGCACGGGGAUCCGUUAAGGGCGUAUUGAAUCGAUAAGAAGCACUUGAAUUCUAGUGGGCCCGGCUACCCAACACUAGCCCCGGAUCAUUUAUGUAUUAUCAAUUGAUAGUAGGUUUUAAGAUAGCUUAGCCCUUGCUAUGAUUCAAUUUGUAUUGGAGAAGAGGGGCGCCAACCCUAUGGGGAAUGUAGCUAUGUUGUACUUCUUCCUACUAGCUACGGUGCAGCACCUGUUCCUAGCUACGAUGCUGCUCCUGUCCGCCCCUUGAUUUAUCACCGCUUUGGUCUUUUAUUGGUCAUUGAUUUAUAGACGGGAGGAUAAGUACCCUGGCUCGACCCCAGAUAUCGAUUUAGCAUUCCAUUAUCGGAUCUCCGAAACGGGAAACAAGAAAAGUAAUCGAAAUCGUGUGCCAGCGGGACAUACGAAAUUCACACUUUUUGACUCUCAAUCCACAGGUGGAGAUACCAGGGGUGGGUUUUCAUGGCCUAUAGUCUCCCCUGCCGACGAAGCACGAACUACUUGUUGAAAUCGCGGAUCCAAAUCUUGCAUUUCUCCUUUACUCGUCAAAGGCCUCGUAUUGUUAUUCCCAUGAUUCAUGUGGGCUAUCUGCUCUUUAUUGUAGGGUCCUACUCCCACCUAUCCUUAAAAAACGAUGUGAGUGGCUCAUACUAAUCAACUGUACAAGUAACUGACCCUUAUCAAGCUUUCCACACAUAGUGUUUUGAUCUAAGAUUGCAAUUCUUCCAUGUUUCCGCAGUAGCAUAUUGUUCCAUGGAGCUAGGGUCCAAAAUAGGAAUCAAUAAGUGUUUCCACGACUCUACCGCCCGGCCAAUCCUGUUCCACUGAAUCCCCUCCCUUUUUCAUGGCAACAUAUCUUUAUGGCUAAGGAGUGGGAAAUCUUUCUCCUGUUACACAAAUCAAAUGUUUCAUUUCAUCCGGGAAAAGCCACCUCUUUCUCCACAAACAAUGUCUUUGUCAUUUGAUCCAGUUUUUAUCCGUUAGAUAGGAACAACUUUGCUAAAUACUGAGAACUCUCGGAUAGAGUAUUAGAAUGAAAAGACCAUUAAUUAUAUAAGGAAGAACCCAGGGUUCUAGCCCAUUCCCAUUCCUAAUUCAAUAAUUCGUAGUGCUUUUGCCUUUCUUGCGUACUCCUGGUGAACCAGUUGCUAGCCAUAUGUUUAGGAGGCUAUUUUCUCCUAUUAAAUAAGAUUCUUAAGCUUAAUAAGCCCAAAGAUCGAAAAGUACGGACCAUUUUGAAAUAAAACCGGACCAUUUGUAAAUCAAAAUAGAAAAAGAAAUCUAGCUACUCUCUUCUCUGUCGCCUUCAGAAAAAGAAAGCUAAGGCAAUUGGUGUUGAAGAAACAAAACCACACCGAACCAGUCAGGAGUUUUCAGAGAUUAUGCCCAGCGUCACAUGACACCACUUCACUUUAUGCAACACGAGGAACCGAUCAAGAAAGACGAAGCAGACAUGCACAAGUUCAAGAGCGAGGUCAGACAAGCAUGUAUCAGAACAGCAACGUGAUCAAGGCUGCAGCUGCUGCUGCGAGGACUAACGUCACAAGGGAAAUCCGGCAGGAACUGAAGGCCACCGAUCCCGACCGAUCGCGCGGCAUGGACGUCGAAAGCUCCUCCAUAGUCGACGGGGGCACUUCACUUGUCCUGGGGCGGCAGCAGCACAGACAUGCACAACUGAUUUCAAUUAGUACACACGAAGUAUGAUCAACGAUUCCGCAAAGAUAUUAAUUCCAGUGUAGUGUUCAAACGAUCAAAUGGAUGAGAUGAUCAACGAUUGCUCAGAUUAAAAAACUAGAAGGUACAAUUACAACUUAACAGAUCAGUGCACUCAGAGUUUGAGAAGACUAUAUAUGUAGCAUCCGCAUCACCAGGACACUCGAUACUGUAAUUAGUAGGCAGUUACAAGUUAAUAGAACAGAUGCUGCGAGUAGAAGAAUUGAAUCAAUAAUCAGUUUUAUCAUACAAUCAAGUUUGAAUCUGUAUUCCUAUAGCCCUAUAGCAGCAUAUAACAAGAAAUGGAGAGAACACCGCAAGUGAAAAUAAAAAAAUUCCGUUUUGUUGUGGGCAGAUGAGCAGGGAUCAUAUGGUGCGAAAGCCGAAAUGGCCAAGAGUCUCUGAAUGGCAUUAGUGGCCGCAGAUUCACCGAAUUACUAGACAAGCAGGAAAACGUUUACCUGGAGACAUUUUAGGCGUGGGAGGUGAGUCAGGUGUGAAAUGCAUCUCAGGAAGCGACUUGAGCCCUGUUUCAAAUGGGGGGAAACAAAUAAAUGAAAAAAUAAAAUUGGUACAUUCAAAAGAACUGCUCAACUGAUCAGUAAUCAUGACUAACCAUAGCAAAAAAGCACAGUAAUAAUAUCCCUAAUAUAGAGUAGCAUCUAGAGCUCGCUGGUAAUCCGCAUCUACCACCAACCAUCACCAAUGUAGCUUCACAAGGACUCACAAGAACAAGGAUAGGAGCGCAUAAACUUAUUUUGUAACUUGUUUGGUGAUCAAGAACACGCGCAUAGGGAGCACAAGAAUCGAUCGAAGCAUAUACUCGCCAUCAAGAAGGGACAAGUUUCUCCCCCCGGCCCUACUCCCCAACCAACCCACCGAACUAACUCCAUACGUUCAUCAUCAUACAUUGCGUACCGUGCAUUUUUCCUCUUCCUUCCAUACUGUGCACGAGGCCUUUGGCUACUCAAUUUAUUUUCUUUUGCUGCUUCUCUAUUCUACAUAGACCCGGCAAUCUCCCUCCGACAAAAGCAUACUUUUUGAGUACUCUAAAGAAAUAUAGCCCGUUGGGCCGGCUUUAGGAUUAUGCUUACUCCUACUGUGGAGAAAACCAGAGGAGUCCGACUACCAUUUCUUCGUAUGAAGUACGUACUUGUUCUUCACCGUGCAAGCUCUACAGGUUUCGGAAUCCGAGGCCUUCAAGUUCAACCGUAGACGUAGAAGCAAACCGGUACUUAAGCAUCGAGCGAAUGAGAGACGAGUGAGACGCCUUUAGCUCCUAGAAUGCCUUCUUCAACUUUGCUAUACGCAAUUCGUGCGCCAAAUAGAACUGCUAGACUACGUCGAGUUGUGACCACUCAUGCCUCUAAAGAGCGAGGCAAAGGGUAACACUAGGGCGGAGCUCCACCUUUUGUUCUUCCAGCUCGGACUCCUAAACUAGAAACUAUAUAAGAGGCAUGAGAUGAUCAGGUAUGUGCACUAAAGCUCGACAUGAUGAAAGCUUAUGAGAACUUCACUGCUAUAGCUGAUACGGGAUCUAAUGACUUAUUUCUUAAAAUAGGGUUUUGUGACUACCGAAAGUUUCUCUUUUCAUGACACAGGGGGGGUCUCUGUGGCCCUAGUUUCUUUGGCCCAUUUGAAAUGAGCUACGAAUAGGUCCUACUUCAGACAAUCCUUCGUUGUCCCUUCAGAGGAGAUGAGUGGGAUGACGAAUGAGUUCUUUAAACAUCUCUAUACUGCUGAAGGUACUGAAAGAAUGGAGGAUGUUCGUUCUGUCGACAGUUCCUCGGAAAGUAUCUCAGGCAAUGAAUGAGCAAUUGACUGCGCCCUUUACUGGUUCUGAAGUGUGACCUUUUUAAGAUGUACCCUGAAAGGCCCCUGGCCCGGACGGCUAUCCAGCCCACAUUUUUUCAGCGAAGGUGGGAUUUCUAUGGUGAUGAGGUUAGUGACUUCAGUUACCUUCUCGGUUCUUUUCAAUGGGGAGCGUCUUGAGCAAUUCAAACCUUCUCAGGGACUACGCUAGGGAGAUCCAAUCUCUCCGUACUUAUUCUUGUUAGCAGCAGUUUAGGUAUUUGAAAUAGCGAAAUACAUAAAUUAUCUAUCUCAAGUACGUCUCGUACUUAUCUUGAGCCAUCAGUCAGAUUGAAUGCAGCGCCCUGCCGGCAGCUCCUGACCUCUGUUCCUAUGGGGGAAAGAAGGUGUGGCUUUGGACCCCAAACUCUUCCAUGACGCCCUUCUUCUUAUAGCGUGGGUAAGUGAUCAAUACAGAAAAAAUCACACCCAUUGGAUCCAUCCUGAUAUGAUUGGGUGAUUUGCACGUUCCCUUAAGAACAAGCACACACACACUAAAUCCUGAAAAGAAAGAUAGAUGCUCAUCUUCACACUGAUAGCAGCAGGCUCACUACGUACGUUGUCCAACCCACCUCGUAAGACAUCUUUCCUCGGAUAGCCAAGCGAAAGAGGAGGUCUCAAGCGUGCAAAAACACAUGUAUGAGCAGGAAAAGAUGUGCAAUCAAGCUUAGAGACUGCAGAUAACAGAUCUCUCAGGCACCGGUUUCCCUCAGUUCAGGAAGGGAAGCGAGCUUUCAAGGGUCCCAGGAUAAAAAAGGUAAUUAAUAUGUCUCCGACCGAAGUGAUAGAUAAAGGCCUUACCCAUUGGCAAGGAACGCUUGGAGGAGUGAAACAACGAUUCCGCCUAGCGUAGGACACGUAUAUUUGAUCCAAUCUAGCAAGCGUAGCCAGCCCCACCCACGGGUGAAAUUGUACAGCUCCCUAUCUCGUUGAAAGCCCCUUUGCUUACGGAAGAGAAGAGUUGGAUGCCGUGGUGGGAAAGCUCCCGUUUCAACUUUGCUUCUUGUAAGCUUCGGUAUAAAUAGCUCACUUGCGGGAUCUAAUCUCAUUCUAUGGGAACAGCUUUCAUUUCUAUCUUUUGGCUUAAAGUGGUGAACAAAUCCUUUCUCUUCACUUUUUGUGCUCCGCAUGGCUCCGGUCAAGAUGUGACUCAUCCUGUAUAUACAUAAUUAGGAGACCUCUCACGAACUUGUUAAAGAAAGGAGUACCAUUUGUGUGGACAAGCCAAAGCAAUCCUUUGAUGUUCUCAAGCAAGCUUUAAUUGAGGCCCCUGUGUUGGUUCUCCCUGAUUUCAGUAAAAGAUUUGUGCUAGAGACAGAUGCCUGUGGGCAUUGGAGCUGUGAUAAGGGGUAGAAGUAUUCGUGUGGGGUGGGUUUCGAAGGGAAGGUUGCACAAUAGAUCGGAGAUCCUUUGAGGAAGACUGAAAUGACUAUACUUAUAGAAUGGUCCAUAUCGAACAGAUACGAUACUGGUUUACACAGAGAAUAUCGCCUAGCUCUAAAACGGCAGCACCUGAGUGCAACUUCGAGUAAGAAAGAACGACCUUCUGCUACCUUUUUACCAGGGAAUUGUUUUAACAACUUUAGCUGAUUGAUCUACGAAUGGAGGGAUUCAAGCUUAUUUUUGUUAACCGAGAUGCAAACGACUAACAAACUGGAUUCGAAGCCACCUGUCGUAAUAGUACCUGCGGGUUCUUUCUGUGGAGCCUUCAAAUGCAAUAGCUAGCUGCCCAACGGCCAAUGCCACAGGCAAAUCUCCAUUUUCCAACUUAUACAACUCUUUGGGGUCCAAAGAUACUCGCCAUUGCAACUUAAUAAAUAGGACCGGUGGGAUCGCCUUCAACGGAUAUAUCGGUUUCACUGCUUUCGUACCCUUUGUUUUGGUCAUGUGGAUGACCCGCAGACCGUAGAUAAGAUGGAUACCCACGUACUGCCAUCAAUGAAGAGACUUUUACCAAGGACCCUUAGAUAGAUAGGGGGGACAGACAAGAGGUAUGCAACCUGCUGAAUAUUGUCACCGAAUCGCUCACUGACAAAUACUUGGGGCUCCCCUCCCUGGUAGGAGUGGAUAGGAGCGACUGCUUCCAACACUUAAUUGAGAGAGUUUGCACUCGGAUUAAUGGCUGCAAAGAGAAGGGCUAAUUGGCUCCGCCAUGGAGACCGAAAUACGAGCUUCUUUCAUCACAUCAUUUUGCAACGGAGAAAAAAGAAGAACAUAAUAAAGUUUCUGAAUGACUCAAACGGCAACAGGAUCGAAGGUAAUGACCAGUUAGCAUCUCUUAUACAGGGUUACUUUGAGGGACUGUUCACCUCAGAAGUCCUAGCUCCCGACCCUGGGCUACUGGGGAAAGUAAACAGGCGAGUAACUGAAGAAAUGAACGCAAGCCUCUUGGCUCCAUUCACGGCAGAUGAAGUAAAGGCAGCACUCUGAAUUCAAUCGAGAGUUAGGUACAGUAAUCUUCAGAUAUGACAAUACCUCCCCCAAAGCAUUGUCAAGUGUUGGAAUUAGGGCACCAACCACGAAUAGGAGCUGUAUAGAACUCCGGAAAGAGACCUUUGAUGAAGUCGGCAUCCUCCCAAGUGGCAUUUGCUUGAUCCAAACUAGCCCACUUCCUUGGUUGCUGAAAAACCAUGCAACGCAAGUAAUUUUCCACACACUGAUUCACACGUUCUGUCUGGCCAUCUGAUUGUGGGUGAUAGGCAGAGCUAAACCUCAAUUUCACUUGUUGUGCUUUGAAGAAGGCCUGCCACAUGUUAAUUGUGAAUAUCCAGUUUCUAUCAGAGACUAUUGACUUUGGCAAUCCAUUCCACUUGAAAACAUUAUCCAUGAAAGCAUGAGAGACUGAUUGUACUGUAUAAGGGUGAGCAAGGGGAAUGAAAUGAGAAUAUUUAGUGAACCUGUCCACCACCAACAAUAUGACUUCUUUGCCCAAUGAUUUGGGAAGACCCUCAAAGAAAUCCAGGGAGAUGUCAGUCCAAGCAGAAGUAGGUAAUGGCAGUGGAUCUAGGAGACCAGGGUAGUGGCAAUGCUCUCCCUUGACUCUUUGGCAAACUGCACACUCAUGUAGAAAAGUUUCAAUCUCCUGGCCUGGCGCCAAUAAAAUCGCUUUUUUACCCUUUGAUAAGUAGCCACAAUGCCUGAAUGGCCUCCUAUGGGAGAGUUGUGAAGUGAAUCAAUGAUUUGGUGUUUAAGAACAGCAUCUGAUCCCACAUAUAUUCUUCCUUUAUAUCUCAAAAUGCCAGAAUGAAGAGUAUAAGGGGGUGCUGCAUUGGCUGAUAUAGUGAGCUUCUCAAGCAGAGAUUUGCAGUGAUCAUCAUUAGUGUAGCUGGUUUCUACAGUUGAAGCCCAAGCAGGAGUAACUGCAGUGACUGCCAUCAUAAGAGAAUCUCUUCUGCUCAAAGCAUCUGCAACCUUGUUUUAUUUUUUUUGUAUUCAAUCUUGUAAUUGAAUUCAAGCAAUUUUCACAUAAGCUUGUGCUGGAUGCCCUUAGAGACUUUUUGUUCUGUGAUGUAUUUAAGGCUCUGUUGAUCAGUUUUGAUCAAAAAAAGAAUUGGGAACCAAGAAAGUAGUGGCGCCAUCUCUUCAAGGAUUCCAAAAUAGCUAAAGCUUCUCCUUAUCAUAAGUUGACAUAGCUGCAUUUCUGGGUCCAAGGGUUUUACUGAAAUAAGCAAUUGGUCUGCCUUGUUGCAUGAGGACAGAACCAAUACCUUGACCUGAUGCAUCUGUUUAAAAAGUAAAUGGUAGGGUCAAAUCAGGCAAAGCCAUAAUAGGAGCAGUGACCAGACAAUUAUUCGAUGUUGUGAAGGCCUCAAUUUGAGCAUCUGACCACUGGAAUGAAUCUUUUUUUAGACAGUCAUGAAGUGGCCUAGAAUUGAUCCCAUAAUUCUUGACAAAUCUUCUUUUUCUGCAGCCAUACCAAGAAAACUCCUCAACUGAGUGAUGGUCUUAGGUGCUGGCCAUUCUUUGAUGGCAACUAUUUUGUGGGGGUCUGUAGAUAGACCCUAUCCUUAGAUAACAUGCCCUAAAUACUCCACUUGAGGGACAGGAAAACUGCAUUUGCUAAUCUUAGCAUAUAGUUUUUAUGACCUUAGAAUGUCCAGGAGUAACUUUAGAUGCUUGAUAUGAGCUUGUUUGGUCUUGCUAUAUAUCAGAAUAUCAUCAAAGAAUACCAAAAUGUAUUUCCGGAGCAAAAACAUGAUUCAUUAAAGAUUGGAAGGUAGCAGGUGCAUUAGUGAGUCCAAAUAGCAUCACUAAGUAUUCAUAAUGACAAAAAUAUGUCCUAAAAUUUAUGAAUGUCUUCUCUUCUCAUUCUUAUCUGAUGAUAACCUGAUCUCAAAUCAAGUUUGGAAAACAGUUGUGCACCAUGUAGCUCAUCUAAUAGAUCCUCAAUGACAAGAAUAUUGAAUUGAAUUUCUGCACUUAACCCGAAAGCAAGUUUGAAAACAAGACCUGCUCUGUGAAGUGAUGGAAGUAGUGAAGGUUUAGGCUUCGGAUCUGUGAAGUUCAGGUUUUGGAGUAGAGGUCAGAGGCUAGUGCGGGUAGCCCUGUCGGAAACUAGAAAGAAGAGGCUGAUGCACCUGCCUGGCGGUGGGUGGGUUCAGCUCGAUCAACUGGCAUAGGAGUUUUUUCUCUAUCUUGCUCCAUGGUGUUCAAGCAGUGCGUCCAGAAAGCUGUGAUUCAUGGGAGGGAGCAGCUUCAAUAGCUUUGGCUGUGAAAACUCUUGGUCUUGGAGCAUCAGUGUCAUCAGUUCACCCAAGAUCCGCAGGACAAAUAACUACUAGGUUUGUGCCAGAAAAGCGUCUUGCGUGACGGGGAAAGAGUGGAAAAACAAAGAGAUUCAUCAGCUAUGGAAUCUGACAGGUAUCGGUAUUGAACAGAGGGGGCUGUUCACAAAGCAUCCCAUGGAUGGUAAUGGUGCUUCCCCAGCUGCUGUUCCUACUCCUUUGGCUGGUGCCAAAUCAGGUGACUUUGAAGUUGAAGCUUGCCCGCAGAACGAUGUAACCAUGCUGGUAGUACUAUGAUUGCCUUAGAGCGCAGAUGUCUCUGUCCCUAGGAACGUGAUGCUUAGGUGCAAGGUGAAACACAAGCAGGAGAUCGAGAAAAGAAAUCAUACGGAUUGCAACCUACAGAUGAAGAAUCUGCUUCAUUGUUCCGACCAUCUAUAUCAGAUGUUUAAUAAGAAUAGGAAUCAAAUAAGCUGCUGAUUGACUGAGGAAGCAUUUGAAAAGAAAGGAAGGGUGAUGCUUGUUAAACAAAGCUGCGUGUGGGGCCGCCACGUAUAGCUGUAGUUUCUGCUGUAGCAUCGGUCGGUCAUUUCCGUUGUUGCUGUAGUAGCAUCGAUUAUUGCUCAGGUUACGAAUGACCCAAUCUAUCUAUGGCAACCACCCCUACUUUUAGUAGAUGGAGAUGCGCACCUAGAAAAGACGGAUGAAAGAGAACCUGCCCUUCUGACUUCUUCUCUUGUCUGUCCUUUACGCAAAGCGAUCUAUGGUCUCAACAAGCCCCGAUAGCGUCGGUUUUUGAAGUUCAGCACAGUGGUUAUGUUAUCCAGGCAGGGUUUGCUCGGAGUGAUCAUGAUUCGGCCAUGUUCGUAUCAGUUUAUCCUCGAGGACGUGCUAUUCUGUUGUUGUAUGUUGAUGAUAUCAAACUGACUGGUGAUUACUCCGUUACCAUAUCGCUGAUCAAGUGUCGCCUUCAUCAAUUAUUUGCUAUGAAGGCGCUGACGCGCCCUAAGCCUUUUCUUGGCUUGGAGGUCGCACAUUCUCCUCGUGGAUAUUUGGUAUCUCAGAUCAAAUAACGUCAUGACUUGAUCACUCGAGCUCAACUCAAUGAUGAGAAGACUGUUGACACUCCCUUGGAGCUUUACGUUAAACUCCAUCCGACUGAUGGCUCACCAUUAUCUGAUCCGAUGCAGUACAGACAGUAGGUCGGUAGUUUGGUUUAUCUGACGAUCUCUUGCCCAGAUGGCUUUUCCUAAGAAAGUCAGCCUUUCAUGGCUGCCCCCCGGUCAGUUCACUUUGCAGCAGUUUAUCGGAUUCUUAGAUAUAUUCGAGGUACCUUUUCUCGAGCCAUCCUUUUUUCCGUCAUCGUCUUCUUUAGAGUUGCGUGCAACUACUGAUGCCAAUUGGGCCUUCAGAUAGGUGCUCAACUACAGGCUUAUCUAUUUUAUGGGGAGACGAGACACUAUCUUGGAUGAGAUAAAAGCAAUAGAUAGUUGCUCCUUCCACUGCCGAAGCGGAGUACCGUGCCAUGGCACACUACUAGAUAGAUUGUAUGGCUCCGUUGGUGACUUUCUGAUCGCGGGUUUCAUUUGAACAACCCCAACGCCAUUCAUCUUGCGUCAAAUCCGGUCUUUCAUGCAAGAGUUUCAUUUUUGGCCGCUACUACGUUCGUCGAAAACUUCUUGAUGGCACCAUCAUCUCAUUACCUUAUUUUUUCCCUUCGACUUCGGCUAUGACCAAUGCCCCACCUAGCUGAAUAGGCGUAACAAAGCUACCUGAAAAAGGCAAGGUGCACCUUAGAUUGAAAUCGACAAAUUGCGUUUUGCCAGAUGGAUUCUUUAGAAAGAUUCCCGGAUAAAGUUCAGUAUAAUAUUUAGUUAGAAUCUAAAUAAAGGCGCAUACGUGGGCAGGCAGGGGGCCCCACUACUUCUUCAUUCAGGGGGGGGGCUAGCCUCAUGACUUCCCACUGGGCGAGGGGUGCACCUAACCCACCUACUCACUCAUCAAUUACGGUGUUCAGCUGACUUGCACAGAAAGACCCCUAUUGUUUAGUAAUUUGGCGCCCCAUCUUUUGAUUGACUGUUGUCAACUAAUCUUUUCAAUGUUCAAUUCUACUCUAUGUUAGAACAUUUCUGUGAAUGCUAUUUCGAUCUAAGUGGUCCUAUUCUCUGUCCGUGCUAGGAAGCAUUACUCCUCUUUUCAUUCCAAAUUCUUCAAUAAGACCGAUACGAUUGAUUGGUCUGUGCGUUUCUCUUAUUACUUUUUUGUAUCCCCCUGUUUCUCGGAUACAAUUCGAUCCUUCUACGGCCAAAUCUCAAUUUGUGGAAAGCCUUCGAUGGCUUCCUUAUGAAAACAUCCAUUUGUAUAUGGGUAUAGACGGUCUUUCAUUAUUCUUCGUGAUAUUGACCACAUUUCUGAUCCCUAUUUGCAUUUCAGUGGGUUGGUCUGGUAUGAGCAGUUUUGGGAAAGAGUAUAUUACAGCAUUUCUAAUUCGUGAAUUUCUAAUGAUCGCCGUGUCCUGCAUGCUGGAUCCUCUAAUAUUCUAUGUUCUUUCCGAAAGCGUGCCAAUCCCUAUGUUGUGCGGAGCUGAGCAUCUUCUAUUCGCUGGGAUCAAGCUUUUCCUCUGCAGGGGCCUUGUGCAGUAAACCCCCUACGGGCGGUCCCCCGUCAUCGUAAAGUAGUAAAGGUCCCCGCGAAGCUUUCGGGAAGAGGGGUAGUCUUGUGCGUAAGCAUAGCAUUUCUGGUCGAACCACCGAACCACACAUCUUUUUUUGGUGGGAGGGUACUCCGAGUAGUGGGUACCUCGUAGGACCUCGACCCGCCUACUCAGGUCUUUUAUGGAUAUGCAGGAAGGGGUGCUCCUAGGUGUGUGUAGGGGGUGUGUUUGUUCGCGAGAAUGUAUUCCUCGUCAAGUCAGGGGGGUGUGGACACACUUGCGCGAAUUCGGGUAACGGCUACAAGGGAUAAAAAUAAAGGAAACUGUACCCGACCAGGGAUGGACGUAAACUCGUAAGCUACCGAGGGUAGGGAUAAUCGUCCAGGUCUUAUUUAAAAAAAGCCGCCCCGCCACUGCAGGCAGGUUAGUUCCUCUGUCGUUGCCGGAGAGUUCUUGGCGAAGAGACCUUAGGAUAAGUUGCUAAAACAAACGGAGGGGAGGAUCGACCCAUUCAGUAGAAUUCCGAAGAAAGACUGUUGGCAGCAGGUGGAGACAUUUCUUUGGCCCCCUUCCAAAUAAAUGCGGGCAGGGUAGAGCUCGGCAGAGGGUUCGAGAAUAGGGUAGGGUUUUUUACGGUCGGGUCCCCUACCACUAGUCCGGCUAGCCUUCUUUCGGGCAGGAAGCAGGCCUAAACGACGGGCGGGCAUCUCCCGCUACGCAAGCAGCAUUGUUCGCCACCACCCGAGAAGCAAAAGAUUCUAGAGUCAAGGCGGAAAAGACAAGCAUAGUGGUCGAAUGACAAGGGCCGACGACGGAAGCUCGGGACGGAGCCGUAUGAUGCGGAAGUCUCACGUACGGUUCCCUGAGAAGGGAGUGGCUACCCACUGGAGCUUCGACCAACUACCACCGGUCCGCUUUGGGGCCACCCCUGACUCUACCAUCAUUAUAGGGGUAUGGGGUUCGAGACAAAGAAAGAUCAAGGCAGCAUAUCAGUUUUUCCUAUAACUUGGAUCUGUUUUUAUGCUAUUAGCUAUUCUGUUGAUUCUUCUCCAAACAGGAACCACCGAUUUACAAAUUUUAUUAACCACUGAAUUUAGUGAGCGGCGCCAAAUCCUUCUAUGGAUUGCUUUUUCGCCUCUUUUGCCGUCAAAGUGCCUAUGGUACCAGUUCAUAUUUGGUUACCCGAAGCCCAUGUAGAGGCACCUACGGCUGGAUCCGUCAUCUUGGCUGGAAAUUCUUUUAAAAUUGGGAACCUACGGGUUUUUAAGAUUUUCAAUACCCAUGUUUCCCGAAGCGACACUUUGUUUCACUCCUUCCAUUUAUACUCUAAGCGCGAUUGCUAUAAUAUAUACUUCCUUGACCACUUUAAGACAGAUCGAUCUUAAGAAGAUCAUUGCCUACUCCUCAGUAGCCCAUAUGAAUUUGGUGACUAUUGGUAUGUUUAGUCGGGCGGCGGCCGUUAGGUCACCUAUUUUGAGUUAUGGACACACAAGCAAGGCCAAAACAUGUGUGCCGGGCGUGCGACCCAUCAACCUACUAGCAAUAGGGGAGAAAACUUAGCAUGUCGCAACAAAAGCGUCGAUUCGAGGCGUCAGCAAAACACCGCCGUCUGUUCCUAAAACAAAACCCCUUAGCGCCCCGGGACGGGAGUGGGGGACGGCCCUACGCAGACAGCAGCAGCACCGGCUCUACGAAGUCCGAAUCGAAUCUUUCGGUUGGCUUUCCCGUGAAUAAGAAUUGUUGGGCGCGGUGAAGCGAGCGCUUCUAGCUGUUUCGCUUGCUUCUUUCUUAUUGUGGCGGCUAUUAUGGCGUGGCUGAAAUGAACGAAAAGCGAGAUGAUUCAAAUCGAUUGAUAGAUGGCCUGCUCUGUUCUGAUAGAUCGAAAGGUUUUCUAUCAAUAAUAAGGGUUGACCUCUUUCUAUCUAUUGAUGAUACAAGAUAUCUAUCUAUUCUGGAUCCAUCAGAAAGAAAUCGAUAUGUAUCUGAUUUUUUUCUACAUCGUAUGUAGAGCGCCCAAGCGUUUGGCCAGCUCAGUUCUAUUAUCCAUCGGUCCAAUGCACUGGCUCAUCUCAUGGAGGGAAAAAGCAAAUGUAGUUAGUUGUCUUGUUGUUGUUCGCCGCCUCGACACAUUCCCCGGCAUCGUCCCACACAGAAAGAAAGAGCGUGGAGCCCCGGCCCAACCUGUAAGUCCGCUAACGUAAAGCGAGGAGUUGAGCCUGAACUGGCGAACCGAAGUCACUUUCGUAACCAUACUUCCUACAGCUAACACGUGCCCAGUCCAGCGGGAACGCGAAGCGCAAACGAACGUCAGCUGCUAUACCGAAUCCCCCGCUGGCCAUCGGGGACCUAGUGGUAAGGCCAUGAUCCGCAGGGGAAGGGAUCACUCAUUCUUCUAUUGGGGACAGGUGCACGAACAACAACUCCAAACGUCAGACAUCCGCCGCCUAUACCUACCGUUUAGGUGGCACCAGCGAGAUCCAGCUAAGGUAAGGAACUUCGUGUCGCGGCUGCUCCACUCCGCUGCGGUCUUUUGAACUGAACUUCGUUGCCUUCCCGCGCGCGAAACGAAUGGGUGCUGUGUCGUGGGUCAGUUUUGGGGCGGGGGGCAGAGAGAGACCAGAAGAAUGAUUCAUUUGGAUCGACGAGCCAUUUCGCGAAUCAAUAGAAUGUCUCUCUAUCCAUAUCUAUUCUAUCUUUAUAUGACGGGCCAUAAAAAAAGAAGUAUUUUUUAUGGCAUGCGGGAUGAUCGCGCCUAGUAGCCACAUAUCAGCUGCGCUCAAUAUGCGGGAUUUCCGUUGGAUCAGAUCUUUCGCUUUGACUAAUUUGGACCUAGCGAAAAGGACUCUAAGCCUUCGCGCAAACAAGCAAAGUAGAAGCAAGACGAGGAAGCAGAGCUGUCGUAGAAGCAGUAGCUUCCCCCGACAAUAUACAAUACAACAGUAGCGACCAUGAAUAAAAAAGCCCCUUGUUUAACGAGUUCGCUGCUUUUCCCAGGCCGGAGAAGGGCAACUACUUAUUGAUUGAUCGCCUUUCUUUGAUAUGUGUUCAAUUUAGUACAAUACAAACUACAACUAGAUCAAAGCGGAAGGGCCACUCACUAUAGAAGCUAUAACUAGAAAAGCCCUAGCCAAUAGUUUAGUAGUCGGCCAAACCCCCAUGCUCACGACAUGUUCUUGAUAUUGAUUGAGUUGGAGGGAGUCAGAGACUACCACGGAAUCCUUCCAUAGUCACCCCGGUGACCUUCGUCACCAAAGCGUCACGACAGUUUCCAAGACCCCUCAUAUAAUCUCCAGUGGGGAUCAGUCGGAGCACGUAGGAAUGCCGACCACUUCAUAAGCCGCUGGCGGAGAAAGCUCGAAGAGCUUCCCUUCAUUCGCUUCGCGGGAGUCGCACACAGCACAUAGCUGGAAGUCAGAGGGCCCGUACUACCUACCUAACCCUUCGCCCCGAGGGACCGUAGAACAGAAAGCGCCUUCUAAACAACUCGGCAGAAGGGAAGGGGCCUAUGUAUUUGCAUGACCCCUGCGGAUUUGACCCUACCUACACCCGGAGCCAAUCCCCUAGCGGUCCUGCCACCACGCCGCCGAACAGGAGCUCGUGUGGAACCUUGGAUUUCUGGCGUAACAGCGGUGGAAGGUAUCAAAAUAUUACGGCCGCAUAACAUAGUAUAUACGCUAAGGUCGGCCAAAAUAUGGACACCCGAAGGGCCCGGCGCGCACAAUCCGAUCCUAUCCGAGCCCGUCAUUGCAUGCACUUCGGACAGCCGUCCGUAGCAUCAUAAGGAGCACCUCCCUUUCGAGGUACCCAAAUGGAACGGUCUUUAUUUGUGUUGUUGGUUGGUCUUUCUCAACGUGGUCUAUAGCACGAAAAACCAUUCUUUACAAGAUAGGGCCGUUCACAUGAAAUAAAAUACAAAAUCCAUUCUUCAUGGUCGGGCGCAUUUCUCCAAAUCCUCCAGGAUCACAAGUGGAACGCUAAGCAAGGGUGGGGAGGCUGCGAGCUCCGUGUCGAACAGAAAGAAGCAAGCAGGGGGUGUUGCCGUAGCGCGCUGGAGAGCAAGCGUAGGCAACCAAACUAAAUAAGGCUACAAAAGUACCUAGCUAGCGUUUUUAAGCUGGCUGCCUUUUCUAGCACGCGUACUCUUCUGUGGAGUCGCACGGAACGAGCCUUGUCUUCCCUCCAACGACUAGCUCCCUUUUCUUGUUCCGGUCACCCUUCUCUUGCCGUGGAAGGACUUUUGCCUGUGGUGUGGUCCAACCCGUGGGCGGAGUCGCCCUCAUCCCCCCAUUGCUCAGUGCCCCCUGCAGCUUCGCUGGGCUUUACCCGCGUGGGCGCGGGCUUCUAUAAGAGAAUGAAAAGCUCUCUUUUUACAAUAAAACGCGAACCGCGCGGAGCCCACCCUUUUUUGUUUUCUGCCGCCACUGGGUGGCCGCAGGGGAAACACAGCCCGGCCGCCUCUCGGGAAAGGGGGGGUGGGCCUACCUAUCCCGAGGGAGCAGCUGAGAGGUUCCAUAUGCCGAGCCGAAGGGCAGAACUUCAGUGCGUGAUCGCAGUAUGUCACCUCGUCUCGUCCUCGCAGCAUCGAAGAGUACCUAUGCACUAUGUUCCGGUUCACUGAUAAGGAAGAUAGAGUUGGGGUGGGGGUCUACGAUGUGAUACUAUAGUAUGCCCCGGGGAGAAAGAUGCGCAACUCAAAACGGAAGCAGGAAGCGUGUUGUCAAAAAUGUCGGAGGUUACCAGAUCUCUGAGACUACCAUCGAUCCGACAGAGCAGAACGACCAGAAAAAGAAGUGGAGUUAGAAAGCCGUAUGAUAGGUGGUAACUAUCUUGUACGGUUCGGGGGGUAAGCGGCGUACUCUGGGGGAAUAUUAGGCUCUAUCGAACAUACAGGGAAUUGGAGGUAGCAUUUUACUUACGUUAAGUCAUGGACUGGUUUCUUCAGCCCUUUUUCUAUGUGUUGGUGUUCUAUAUGACCGACAUAAGACUCGACUUGUUAGAUAUUAUGGAGGUUUAGUGAGCACCAUGCCGAAUUUCUCUACCAUUUUCUUCUUUUUCACUUUAGCCAAUAUGAGUUUACCCGGCACUAGCAGCUUUAUCGGGGAAUUUCUAAUCUUAGUAGGAGCUUUCCAAAGAAAUAGCUUAGUAGCCACAUUAGCUGCGCUUGGGAUGAUUUUAGGCGCGGCGUAUUCCCUUUGGCUAUAUAAUCGUGUGGUUUCUGGAAAUUUAAAACCCGAUUUCCUCUAUAAAUUCUCCGAUCUAAAUGGCAGAGAAGUUUCCAUAUUUCUACCUUUUCUUGUUGGAGGGGCGACCGUCCGUUGAACUACCAAAAAAGGGUAAACCAAUGUGAUCAUGACAUUGUAGGUGCUUGCGAUGGGACGGAUGCGACUUCCCUCAUAAGUAAUGGGUGGCAUAGCCCGUAGCAGAAGUCCCCUUUUUUUAUCCAUUUCUUUAUUACCCCAGAGGGGCCCACCCUGGUGGGACCGAGAGAAAGAAAGGACGGGGGGGGCGACCAUGCAUGGCACUUCUCGACCGUGUCUCCGAGGGACAGUUGAACGAGCGACUCAUGAAUGCUGCCGGGUCGGACGAGCCAAUAACUCGAACGUGUUCGGUUAGUUUUUUGAGCAAGAAUCACAGCGUUACCUUACCUUCACCAUGAUACGGACUCCAAGUUCUUAUGGUAGAGCACGAGGAGUUUCCUUCUAUAUGAUGAUGAGAAUGGAAACCAGAAGCACGACUGGGUCUUCGUAGUCCGAGAUCAUACUUAUAUAUCAGUCACAGUAACGUAAGCAUGAGACUUUUUGGUAGUACCGGUGAACCAGAUGGCCGCGGCGAGGGAAUCUGGGACGGAGGACUCGUAAUAUCUCUAUAGAUCUGGCAAAAGCGAAAGACCCCUAACGUCAGGAGCUGACCACUGAGCUCACUCAGGCCCCGCUGGGCGGGCCAGAGUGGGUGCGAGCUGAAAUUGCCAUAGCUUAUGGUUAGAGCAAUAGGAAAGGGCCCAGCAGAGAGAACAGUCAGGAUAACGAGCGCGGAGCCCACUUGGCAAGCGGCAGGAGCAGCGGGCAAGUGCUUGCUUGGUAGGCCAACAGCCCUGUGAACCGGGCGGGGCACUCGACGAAAGGGGGCACGCUGAGCAAGUACGCAAAAUUGGCCCUGCGGAGCUUUCAAAAAGAAAAGCAAGGACCACUACGGGAGGUCGAACCACGGACCGGAGGUAGUAGAACGUGAUCCGCACCGGUCAAUAUUGGAUCAAACAAUAGGGGACCGUAGCACUGACCUUUUUUUUGCAAGACAAUAGGUACUGUUCCCUACCGAGACAAGGGACACUCUCAACGGAUCCUCCACGCGCUAGGCAUACCAUAGUUCUCCCGUGCGUCUUUAUCGUGGCGGAAACAGAACAAGAGGGAAAGACCCGGCCGACUCGCCCAGGGCUCGAGGGCGAGCCAUACGAGAGUGAGUCGAAUUCUGUUUACGUUCUCGGUUUGGGUUCGGGCCCCUCUCGAUCUUUUGCGUAUAAGGGAAGGGGGAAGGAGUCUAAAUCUAUGGACAUUAAUGAACCACCAUUGAUGGACGUUGCACAUGACACGAGAAAUUCGAAUCGACGGUCCGGUGCUAAUAGAAGUUGCUUACUCUCCGUCUAGCGAAGGUGCCAGAUCCUUAAAGUAAAGUAUCUAUCAGCCUAAUGUACCAACCACGUGGUACGACGGGCACUCAAAGACCUGGUGAAUGAGGGCCCACCCCACCCAAGAGCGCUUAUGUCAUAUGGGAACUCUCGGCUGGAAACAAUCCUUAUGGUUUUUAUAUUCGGUUAGAAUAAUAAGAAAGAAUCAAAGUCCAGGUUGGUUGGUGAGCCUAGUGAUAGGAGACUAUCUAGCUUGGUUCGGAGAGCACUUGUUGGGUUUCAGAUUCGUUUUUUGCUAAAUGUUACGGCCUAAAUGCUGAACUAUUGACCCUACUUGUUCGGAUGGGUGUUCACCCCAAAGUGUUCCCGGACUGCAUGCAUACAUCCGUAAGUAACUUAGUGCAACAUGGCAAAUUUCAUUGAGAGGAAUCAGCAAAGAAAAGAAAUCUUCUCCGGGUGAUCAAGUUCCUUUUUCGGUCUGGGCCACGUCUUUGCUUUCUUCAGAGGCCCAUUUUCCUGGGCAUCAGUGAGUGGAAUACUUAACAGUGAUUACAUUCUUAUGUAGAUUCCAUUGCUCGAAUGGGACUUGUUUGUUGGCACCAACCUCAAUAAGAAGCAAGGGAGUGGUGCCGAAGCGAACGGAGCUGCAGAGCCGUUUGUUUACCAAUCCGCCAACUUAAGCUAGGAAAAGUGUAAGAGACCGUGCAUCUUCAUGUAAAUAAAGGUAAAUAAUCUCAGAAACAGUCAAGAAACCGGGAAUUUUUUAUUCCAUUUCUUAGCCAGGGCAAGCCCUACCGACCUACGACCGGAGAAGAUGUUGUGUUGUUCGUAUCACUUGCUAGAGAUAGAGAAGCUAGAACAGGAACUGCCCGGGAGGGUUCAAAGAAUGAGGUCUUCACCUUUGAGCUGGAUCUCAUCUCAUUCUAGCACAUACUACGAGCGAUUGACUUAAAGAAUACAACAAAUGGUUGUGGGGUUAUCUUUGUACCGUGUGACUACAACCACAAGGUCCGAAUCAAGCGAAACGGCUGAGGCGCAAGCCCUUUUCUCACCACUACUCUGUGUACCCAAAGUCAGCAACCUUUUUGGCACGCUGGCUAGCAAGUUCAUUGCUUCAAUGACAUGAAUUCAAUCAAGUGGACAAAUCCUAUCCUGGAAAAUAUGGGCAAUCAGCUGGAAACUCAAUAGUCUUACGCGGAAAGCACUCAACCGGCCUUCCUCUUCUGAAUUAUAUGAAUGACAGAAAUCAGUCCUCACUUGUAUUAACUUCAUGAGUGAAGAGAUAGACAAGGUGGUGAAAAGCAUGAAACCAAAUACUGCUCCAGGUCCAGAUGGCUUCUCUGUUAGCUUUUUAGAGAUUUUUGGCCCCAGUUGAGAGAUAUACUAAUAUAAAUGCUUCAGGAGCUGUAUCAUGGCAGGUUGAACUUGUCCAGACUAAACUAUGGUGUCAUUUCUCUACUGCCAAAGAUUAAGGAUGCUAAUAGUAUCCUACAGUAUAGACCCAUAUGUGUUCUAAAUGUUAUGUUUAAAGCUAUUACCAAAGCUCUGACACUUAGAUUUACUCCUCUGGCUCGACAAGUAAUCAGCUCUCUUCAGACUGGAUUUAUUCCUGGGAGGUACAUUUUGGAUGGAUGUGUAAUUCUUCAUGAAGUUUUGCAUGAGUUGAAAACCUCUCACUCUGAAGGAAUUUUGCUUCAGUUGGACUUUGAAAAAGCUUAUGAUAGAGUUCAGUGGCCUUUCUUGGCAGAGGUAAUGCAUAGGAAAAACUUCCCUGACAGGUGGAUAGAUUGGAGUAGACAAGCAGUGGAAGGAGGCAAAGUGUGUGUGAAUAUGAAUGGAGAUUGGCGAGAAUAUUUCUCUACUUUCAGAGGUUUGAGGCAAGGAGAUCCUCUUUCUCCUUUGCUUUUUCACCUAGUAGGUGAUGCACUAUCUGCAAUUCUGGAUAGAGCUAAGGAAGCAGGUGUGAUUAGAGGUUUGGUACCACAUCUGAUACCAGGGGGGAUUAGUCAUUUGCAAUAUGCUUCUGAUACUUUGCUUUUUUUGCAUAAUGCCAUGGAGUCUAUUACUGGAUUCUAAUUCCUUCUCUACUGUUUAGAGGAAAUGUCUGGCAUGAAAGUCAAUUACUUGAAGAGUGAUAUUUUCACAGUAGGGUUGAGUGUAGAGGAGGAGCAGAGGGUAGCUGAUAUAACUGUGAGAUAGGCAAAUUUCCAAUAAAAUAUAAUAUCUGGGAUUACCAAUCAGCAAAGACAAGAUCUCUUCUAAUUAUUUUUUUUCAUUAAAAGGUAGAAAAGAAGUUGGACUCUUGGCAAUGCAAACAUUUCUCUUAUGGAGGAAGAGAUAUAUUGAUCAAUGCAUGUUUAUCAAAUGUCCCUAUGUACCUUCUGGGUUGCUACGCUUUGCCUGUCAAAAUACAGAAAAAAGUCGAUACAAUAAGAAAUCACUUCUACUGGGAGUAAGAAGAAGAAAUUUCACAUGGUCAUAUGGGAACACCUAUGCACCCCUAAAGAUUAUGGUGGUGUGGGCUUCACUGAUAUGAGAGUCAGAAACAUUUGUUUACUGUCAAAGUGGCUGGAGGAGGUCAAUUAACUACUGGAGCUUACACUGCAGAUACUGCUUAUUAAAGGGCACACAUUUCAAGACACCUUCAAACUACUGAAAUUGGAAAGCAAUGAUGUUAUACUGGGUUAUGAUUGGCUAUAUCGUCACAGUCCAAUCAAUUUAGAUUGGAAGGCCAGAACAAUGAGUAUUUGUCACAAUGGGCAAGAAACCAUUAUUCUUUCUGACCGCAGAAAUACUACUUCUCCAACAUUGUUAGACCCUGAUAAGUUUCAGAAGGAAAUUGAUAAAGGAGCUAUGGGCUACUAUCUUUAUCCCUUAUCUUGUGACUCUGCUGAUACCGAUGAUGAAAAUACUUUGGAGGAACUUAACUUGGUAUAGUGAGCCUAGCAGGCGGCGGGAGUCCAGUACGAUUGCUUGCAUUUCUCUGGAAUUGAACUAGCCCUUGGGAAAGGUAGACGUGAAGGUACCAUGAUUUCUCACUUUAUAGAAGCGUUAGAGCUCGGCUGACACAGUGAUCGAAAGCUGCGCAACCAAAACAACUUGAAACCGCCCAUGCACCUUUUGCUUUUCCUGAUAUCGUCCCUUCGGGUAGUUGGAUAUGAGCACAUUCAAAUUGGAAUUCUUCUGAUCCCAGAUCCAAUAGAAGUUUUGAGGUAAGAGGUACCGUGAGCAGAUUUCUUUGUUCGAUACCCAGUUUUUGAUCUCGCAAGCAAGGAAAUCGAAGAAUAGCUCAGUAUUAUUACAUCUCCCUCCGAUAAUGAGUGGUAGUGAGCUCUGCCCUAGAGAAUGAAGACUCCAAGCAGCAUCUCAGUCUCGAUAUUUGCCUUUUCGGGAGACGACUUGUGAUAAGCAAGUCAGCCAUGUCUUAAAGAAGUAGUGGGAGUGCAUGGUUAUAAAGGAAGGCGCAAGUGUAUUACGGAGCGAAGAAGCUUUAGAGAAAGUUCUACCUCGCGGGUGAAACCAUAGAUUGGAAGGUGUAGGUCACUCACCCGUGUAAACAAAGCGAAAUCAUAGAGCAUAGCUCGUUUGUAAUGCCCCUGUCCGAACUGACCACAGGAUUUAGGUCGUCCCGACCAGUAACAAAGGAGAAAUUCCCCUGCUUGUUAGGAGUUCCUUUAGUUUGCAGUUGAGUGCAGCCGGAUGGUUCUCUCUGUGUAUUCCUGAAAAAGUGAUUGGAGGUUCGUUGCUCACCUUAAGUCAUUAUCAACCAAAACUCAUAGAGAAAGGGAUCCGCAAAACCCCUCGCCAUUACCGUAUGAGCAGGUUUUAAAGCCUGCAAGUUAAGUUGUUGGCUGCUCUUAGCGAUUGAGUGCCAACAUGAGACCUAUUUGUUAGCUUUGAACCGAAAAGGUCCCUCAACCAUAGCGUGAUACGAACCAGUGGCUUCCCUACCGAAACCAAAGAAAUCCUCUGGGCGGGUUCCUUAUCUUUACUUAAUAUGGAACCGAGACCUUGACUUCUUCUUAUCAGACUGAAGAGGGGAACCUCAUGACCCAGGAUACAAGCACUAUUAUCUUCUUAUAAGGGAAGUGAGGUGAUUGUAAGCAAAAGGAGGAGGAAUAGUUUCUCAUACCGAGAUCAAAAACUCAAGCGCCAUCCGUUUCCUAUUUGAUUUCAGAACAGCGGAAUAUCAUCACCCGUGGUUCACUUGAGCAUGAAUAGAGUUCGGUCUCCUUAUGAAUUCAAGUUGGUAAAGAAGUGGACUUCGGAGCUUUCGCUACAACCCCUCCAAGGCGGGCAACUGUCUCAUUUGACACUAGCACUUAAAUAAAGAAAGGUAGGAAGGGCUCCCUCCCUAUAAUGAAAUGGGCUUCUUUAAAUUAUGCAAUACGUUCACCAGUCUCGGAUCUUUAGAAAAAGGAACCAAUCCUAUUUCGGCACUCUUUAGAGGCUAUCGCUCGUUUACCGCAGAUCUCUAUCCCACAGCUGGCUAAUAAAAUCGCCUUGGCAAUGUGUCAAGUCCUUUCAGUCAGAGUUCAACUCUUCAGCGAAAGUGAAAAAUCUACGGUCAUCCAUCCGCGGAGGUAGCCAUGGACUCCAUAGUAUAUGUUGGUAGCUAGCGUACAGGCUUGAUGUGAGGGGGGGUUGUUACCUAUUCUAUUCCCUUGCUUGGAUAAAAACACCCAUCUUUCCGUACGAAAGACACGCAACUAGAGCAACUUGAUAUUACGUAUGUAGACCUGGCCUCCCUCAAUAAUAGCUGGCUCACCCGAUUGACGAUUUUCAAAGAUCUACGCCAAGCGCCUCGAAGCGGGGAUCCACUUUUUACUACUUUAGAAAGUGAGAAGCCUUUGGCUUGAUUUCUUCUGUGGCUUCUUUAUGUUUACCCACGCCGCGGCUAUUCAAUAAAAGGAUUGGUAGUUAGUUGCCUCACCCUAUUGGUUGUUGGUUUUCUUUCUCCUCUGCGUUCGUGAAAAGCUAGUAUGCUCGCGGAAAUCGUCUAAAGGAAACUACUCGCUAACUCGCUAACAAGACGGACUUCUUCCUCUGGCUCUGCCAGGCUAUGCUGCUCGCCUAAAUCGGUAUCAAUAACUUCUAUCGUACUUCGACCUCUCAUUGGAAUGAUAAGUUGGCUACGACGAACUAAUAAGUUUCUCUUCUUGUCACCUUCUUUAAGCCUUUCCUUCUGCUUCCAUCGAGAAAUAUAUAUAGAUAAGCUUGGAGAAGCGAUUAAGGUGUUUCCACUCUUUGGUUGUUCAAUAUGCGAAGACCGUGUCAAUCACUACACCAGUGAUACGAAAAGCAAGCAUUCUUCUCCAGCUGAUGUACCGACGCCUCACUACUACUUAAUUAGUGAAAGAUACGUUGGGAUGUUUUCAAUUCUCCAUCAAGAGGCGGGCAACUAUCUCUUUUAACACUAGACUUCGGAUCGCCUUCCUACUAGUUUUCUUCUCGGUCUCCCCAACUAGGGGAAACCUCAAAGCAAACAACAGAGCAACACCUAUCUUUUUUCUUUAAGCACUGAACAUCCGGAUCCCCUUCCGACUUGCUUUUCCGGGCACUGGUCUUUCUAACAACUGGAACUCGUCUCCCUUUUCCUGAUUCGCAUCUUCUUCGGCUUUUGCUACGGUCUGUUCCUUCCUUCAGUCAGUCCUUCCUUCAAGAUUUUUGCCUGCGGAUCUCUCUCUUCAAAACAUAUAUAUCUUUCGGCGCCAGUCUUUCCUGCCUUACCUUAACCCCGCUUUCACGUGGCGAAUCGGUAUGAGGUUUCAGUGAUCACUUUACGGUAUUCUUUAAGCUUUCUUGGUCACCGGACAGAGUGAGAACUGCUCAGCUUGCUUUCUUUCCCUAGCACACACUUAGUAGAUAGUAGGCACAGGUCCGCUAAGAGCUCAUCGAACCUGACUUGUAGAGUGAGACCUGUGCUCGAUAUGGUUCAUUUCAGUGCUCUUUCUCUCGGUAUCAUUCACCACAUGCCUGUGAUCGAUCUCUCUCAAGCUAGGUUUGGUAUCGGUAUCGGUGAAGUCCGUCAUUGAAUUGAAGUGGUAGAGUGGUAAGUGGGCGUACGGUCUAUGUAUUUCCUAUCAGUGGCAUUAGUUCCUUUUCAUUCUCUAGAUAGGCAGAACAAGCUUCUCUUUAUAUUCUAUUCUAGAAAGGAUCAAUUAGAUUCUCAUCUCCUAUUUGUUUGAGCCAUUCAUUAUAGUGGUGGUGCCGGGAAGGCAGCUUAGCACUCUAGUCCUUUUGAGUAAGGAAUUGUAGCAUGGGCAGGCAAUCUCUUCGAUUGAUUCCCCUCCAGGAAUUACUUGAAUUAAUUAGUCGGCCCACGAAGUGAAAUAUUGAACUUAACCUAUAAAUAACUAGUAUCUCAAAAACCAAAUAAAAGGCUUUCUUUUAAGCUUGUUAAUGGAAUUCCACAGGAGUCAAGCGCUAGCAAAGAAGAAUUGGAAAUCAGUCGCUUCCCUUCUGGACUCAAGUCAGCAGAAGAGUGAACUUCAUAUUAAUAGGUAAAUCCUACAUCAAGCGGAAAAGCCAUGAUGUUUCCACUCCAUUUUCAUUACGAAGAUGUAGUACGUCAGGAUCUGUUGCUCAAACUGAAUCACGCCAAUGUUAUGGAAGUUCCUGGAUUGUUUGAAAUAAGAUUAGUACCAAAAGCUCCCUAUGACCCUUUGUACGGAGCAUUCAAAGUUCCUCACGCUGUCAAGCAAGACUUUGAUCUCGAUUUGGGAGAGCAAACACAGCUUCGCCAUCCAGCCAAGUAUCUUUAUUGAAUUGUGACCCUAUCUAGCACUUAAAAAUCUCUCUUCUUUCUCCGUCACUAGAUUCCGGUUAAAACGCUUGGUCCACCCAUGCUUUUCCUCUCCAUUUUUCAUAUGGAAAGGGAAAGCAGUGCCAACUUAUUGGAAUUCUGCAUGGCAUAUUUCCCAACCUCCUGCUAUUCCAGGCUCUAGUGCUCAGUCAUAAACCUAUUGCCCGCUCCGCUUUCCCAUUCCUAUUGCUUUCGGUAUCUGAAUCUUCCUGAAUUCAAGUAGAGAAUACCAGGGCUUUCUUCUUCUUUGAUUUUCCUUGGGGCAGAGGAUAAAAAAAAUGGAUUUCCGACAUACCACCUGCGGCAUUAGGAUUCUAAGAUUUAGGAGGGGAAGGCUGAGGAGAGGGAUCACAUGCAUUCAAGCAAUCUCAAGAUUCAGAAACGAUCAAAAUAAUGGUAUGGGGAGAAGAAAGAGAGGAGAGUCACGAAAAUAAGGUAAACGCAAAGAGACGAUGAAAAGCAAUCAGAGAGGAGAGGGAAGAAUGACAAUGGAAAUCAUAAAGCUCAGCGAGGAGCACAUUACUAUGAAUAAUAAUGGAGAGGGACAUUAAAGGGGAAAACUGAGCAAAGAGAUAUAAAAAUAUACUAGAAAAGCUUUUCACUUCUACUUUGUUUUCUUGUUUAGAUUCAUUACUUCAGUGAUUGAACAUGGGCAGAUACCUAUAAGGACCCCAUUUCAUUGACCUUCGCCCUUUUAUAUCCCUCGUUAAGAUAUGUUAUCCGGACCAACUCCCACGUAGAAAACCAAGAGCAGUGAGUUACAAAACGAAGAGCAGUUAGAAUCGCGUAGCUGCGUGCCCCUUUUUCUGACUAGCUUCUUGUGAAAAGCAUUUCAGGCACGAGCACACCUGAUGAACUCAGAAACCUACUAUGGAAUCAAUCAACCCAUCGCACCCGAGUGCUCUGCUCUCCAAGCUCUGCGCAGGCGUUUUUACAUUAAAAUCGCCGAACGAUUUUAUGCUAUCAAAGUAGGUGGAUUGGUUUGUGGUGCUCACUAAACCUGCUAUUGGACGGGAUCAGACAUAGGUCUUAGAUGAUCUCGAUCUUGAAGAAAGCAUAACUAAUGUCAUUUUAAGAGAAAGAUGGCACUAUGGAUUGAAGGUAGCUUUUUCUCCAUAUGGGAAAUCAAAACUUCAUUUGAUUGAGCGCUAUAGGUUAAGUUGGUUGGUUAGUGUAUCACGACCGGGGACACCUGGCACUGACUCAUUCCUGUCUUCUUCAAAACCGAAACGGAUAGGUUGUCUUAAAGAUCAUUUCUAUAGCGAGAAGGAGGAACUUU